CUUUUUUUUUGUUUUUAAACUAAAUGAAAGCACUCAACAGAAAUAAAUGACUCUAUAAAACUUCCGGGUCAUCUCCCUGGCAGCGCUUUCUUUAAAGCCAUUAAGCUAGGCAUAUAGUGCUCAAGUAAUGAAUCCACCCGAUCCCAAGGUAUAUAAAAGCCAAUUUUAAUUAACAAUGAUUUGUAAUUUAGUAGUGAGCACAAAGUAACAUAUAUCAUGCAACAACAAAGUCUAACUCUCUUCCUAUGCAUCGGCAUGUCAUAAAAGAACAAUUCAUGCACACAUAGUAAAGGCCAAUGCAUAGUAUAAACAGUUUCUUGCAAUUUUAUCAUAUUGGAAACAUAGAGAGGUGGAGAUAUAGUUCCUCUCUCAUAAUAAUUGCAAGUUGUAGCAGCAAGCACAUGCAUAUUAUAUCUAUCAAAAUCAUCAUGUGCAACGGUAAAAUGCAACCCAUCAAUAUAAUCCUUAAUAAGAACAAACUUGUCCGAUAUAGUGUAGUUUGGAGAAUUCAAAAAGAUAAUAGGACUAUCAUGUGUGGGUGCAAUAGCAACAAUUUCAUGUUUAACAUAAGGAACUAUAGCAAGUUCAUCUCCAUAAGCAUAAUUCAUAUUGGCAUCAUGGCCACAAGCAUAGCAAGCAUCAUCAAAAAGGAGUAUUUCAAGAGAAUCAACGGGAUCAUAACAAUCAUCAUAAAAUUCAUCCUUCGGUAAGCACGAAGGCAAAUUAAACAAUGUAUGAGUUGAAGAGUUACUCUCAUUAGAAGGUGGGCACGGGUGAUCAAUCCACUCUUCCUCCUUUUGUUCUUCGCUCUCCUCCUCAUCUUUUUCAUCCAAUGAGCUCACAGUUUCAUCAAUUUAUUCUUCCAUAGAUUCCUGCAAAAUAUUAGUCUCUUCUUGGACAGCGGAGACUUUCUCAAUAAACGCAUCAAUAUUAGCAUUGUAUUCAUAAUUCUCAUUACAAUAUUUAAGUAUAGGAAAAAAAUUAGGUCUGUAAACAACAUCAUCAAGAUUUUCACACUCUUUAAACAGAGAUUCAAUUUCAUAAUCACCCAUAAAAGCAAUGAAUUCGUCUAUUUGUUCCACAUCAUAGUAAUCAUAUAUACCAUUAGCAUAAGAAGCUAAGGUUUCAUUAUCAUUAAAUUUGCAUGAAAAGGGAAGGUGUGGAGCCUUCAUCCUAGAGCAACAAGUAUAAUCAUAUCUCAAGCAUAGUUCUCGAGCAUACCAAUGCAACAUAUGAAUUUGAUCCCAUAAUAAUUUCCCUUUUUGAGUUAAGCGAUAAUUCCUAAAGUAUUCACGUUGAUCCAGCGUGUCUCCCAUUACAUAAUUGAAUGGGGUUUUCUCAGGAUUAUUAAAGUAGUACAUAAUAUUUUUCACAUAACCAGCAUCGAGGGUUUUAGGAGGUUCCCCAUCUCCAUGAGUAGCAAGUACACCUAAUUUUUUUGGGUAUUUCGUGUUCCAUAUCCAUAACUAAAGAUAGAGAACAACUUAGAACAACAAAUAAAAUCUACUUAGUGAUAAAGCAAACAAGCACACACGAGAAUAUUCACCCCACGCUAUGACUCCCCGGCAACGGCGCUAGAAAAAGGUCUUGAUAACCCACAAGUAUAGGGGAUCAAUUGUAGCCUCUUUCGAUAAGUAAGAGUGUCGAACCCAAUGAGGAUCUAAAGGUAGAACAAAUAUUCCCUCAAGUUCUAUCGACCACCGAUACAACUCUACGCGCGCUUGACGUUCGCUUCACCUAGAACAAGUAUGAAACUAGAAGUACUUUGUAGGUGUUGUUGGGUAGGUUCGCAAGAUAAUAAAGAGCAUGUAAAUAUAAAGUAGGGGCUGUUUAUAUAAAGAAGCAAUAAAGUAAGUAUAGAGAGUGUGGAAAAGUGGUGGUAGGAGUUGUGAAAUUGUCUAAGCAAUGGACUACUUUACUAGACCGAUAGCAAGUUUUAUGUGGGAGAGGCAUAAGCUAACAUAUUUUCUCUUCUUGGAUCAUAUGCACUUAUGAUUGGAACUCUAGCAAGCAUACGCAACUACUAAAGAUCAUUAAGGUAAACCCCAACCAUAGAAUUAACAUAUCAAGUCCCCUUUAUCCCAUACGCCACAACCCCCUUACUCAGGUUUAUGCUUCUGUCACUCAAACAACCCACUAUAAGAGAAUCAUGAACGUAUUGCAACACCCUACAACAGGAAUCCCUCAUGCUUGUGCGACAAGGAGGGCACAAUAGGACAUCAACAUAACCAUAAGAAAAGUAAACCAAUCAUAGCAAUUCAUCAAUCACCGAUAGGACAACAAAAAUCUACUCAAACAUCAUAGGAUGGCAACACAUCAUUGUACAAUAAUAUGAAGCAUAAAGCACCAUGCUCAAGUAGAGGGUGCAACAGGUUGCGGGAGAGUGGACCACUGAAUAUAGAUGGGGGAAGGUGAUGGAGAUGUUGGUGAAGAUGAUGGAGGUGUUGGUGUAGAUCACGGUGAUGAUGAUGGCCCCCGGCAGCGUUUCGGCGCCACUGGAAGCAAGGGGGAGAGAACCCCCUUCUUCUUCUUCUUCCUUGACCUUCUCCCUAGAUGGGAGAAGGGUUUCCCCUCUGGUCCAUGGCCUCCAUGGCUUGGGAGGGGCGAGAGCCCCUCCGAGAUUGGACCUGUCUCUCUGUCUCUCUCUAUUUCUGCGUUUUUUUAUUCUGCCCUUUCACCGUUUCUUAUAUAUCCGGAGAUCCGUAACUUUGAUUGGAUUUAAACCUUCGCCCAGAUUUUCUCCAAAAAAUAGCUUUCUUGCGGCAAAAGAAGAGCAUCAACCGCCUUAUGGGGUGCCCACGAGGGUCAGGGGCGCGCCUGCCCCCCUGGGGUGCGCCCCCUUCUUCGUGGUCCCACGGGCACCGUCUCACGUUGAUUUUUCUUCCAGAAAAUCAUAAAUAUUCCAAAAAUAUUCUGCGUCCGUUUUUAUCCCGUUUGGACUCUGUUUGAUAUGGGGUUUCUGUGAAACAUAAAAUAUGCAACAAAUAGGAACUGGCACUGGGCACUAGAUCAAUAUGCUAGUCCAAAAAAUAGUAUAAAAAGUUGCCAAAAGUAUAUGAAAGUUGAAUAAUAUUGGCAUGGAACAAUCAAAAAUUAUAAAUACGACGGAGACGGAUCAUGGAGAUACAGUCUUGGUUUGACAACAAGGACCAACUAGUGGCGAAGGCGACAUCCAUGGCCAAAUAUCUACAACAGAGCGAAAAGGCGGCGAUACUCCCGAAGGGAGUCGCGCGGGAGUACAUAGAGCUGCUCCUCUAGGCCAAGGAGCAAACAGAUUCACCGAAUCCGAUCGCGUGGGAGCGGUGGUGGGAGUAUCGAUCCUAGAUGGAGCAUCCACCAGAGAUUAAAGGAUCGAACAUCUACAGGGUACCGUUUGUGAGGGAGUCGUGCCAGAGCGAGCCGGCGGAGUCUUUGUCGACCGAACCCAACUUCAAGAGGAGAAAAGCAGUUGGCCCGAUGACGCUUCCCCGCCAUCCUCUCCCUCGUCGUUCACAUCAUCUCACGGGGCGGUUGUCUGCCGCCGAGGAAUAGGAGGGUACUACCCCCCAGCCCAAUAGUCAAGUAGGUUGUGAAUUGUCUGGAGGAGCUUAGGGUUGUCAGUAUUUGCAGGUUGUGAAUUGUGUUUUGUGUUGUGUAUUUUGAGAGUACUUUCAGAUAUGAAUGUCUUUUGAAUUUCAGAUUUGCAGUAUUGAGCAUAUGAAGUAUUUUAUAAAUUCUAGAGAUCUAUUUUUAGCACUUAAAAAUGUAGUUUCAUAGGAGUAUAAAAGUGCAGACAAUGUGAUUCUCAGAGAAGAAACUGCAAGUUUUAGUUUCAGAUAAGAAACUGCAAGUUCAGUUUCAGAUAAGAAAUUGCAACUUUCAGAGGCAGAGCAUUUAUAUUAACACAGCCUUUUCAAACAGGUUUAACAUCAUGUUGGACAUUUUAUUCAUUGUCGAAAAUUGAACUACCAGCCAGUUAACAUCAUGCUGAUCAACAUUCAUGCAUAGCACAUCUUCAUAUGAUGCACAGUCAAAAAGAUAUGCUAUUUUCAAAAUGUCCACACAAUGUCGAGUGUGCGAAAAAUAGAGAAAACGAGGGACGAAGUUUUGGAAAGUGUUGGAUCUGGUGUGCGUAGAUGACAAUGGGGACCCACAUGUCAAUAAUGGCAGAGGCAAAGAAUUUGGAGAUAUUUUCCCUGCAUCAGGUCGAAUCAAACCCGGGCGGAACAGCUGUCGGGCAGUGUCACUUGGCCACUGGGCUAGUUCAGUACUUUCGUUACAAAUAAGGCACUUCCUCAAGAGGUCGGAUCUCCUCCUACGCCUUUGUGCGCUCGCUGCGGCGCCACUGUCUGCCAUUGUGCACAUGCUGAACAAACGAGAGGAAUCUGCAGAGGACUAUACGUGGAGAGGCGGACAGUCGGGACCCACCAGGUCUAUGGCCGUAUGCAAGCAAGUGCCUCAUCGAAAAAAUACUUCCUCCUAAUGCUAUACUGACAUUGGGGCCCACGGGUUUGUCAACAUAGUUACAUUUUUUAGGUGCUUCAACAUAGUUACUAUAGGAGAUAAAUUCACAAUGAAGCCGGGGAGCUGGAAGGUAUCAUUUAUUAUCACUCGAGCAGCAAGUAUCAGCUGGGUUUUGGGCUGCCCCGUCUAGGCUUUCUUUUUUAACAUGCGCAGCCCACGACAUGCCGGUUUGUAUUUUCUUUAGGGCCGUUAUGUAUCGACCGGCCUAUGGACCUCCAUCCGAGGUUUUUUUCGUGAAACAUCGGUAGCCCAAUUUAUGUUUUUUUGAAGAAAACACAGAGGUCUAUUCUAUUAUUCUAUAUAAGAAUAGGAACGCCUGGUCUAACUUAUGUUUCCCUUCUAACUAUAUUAUAUAUAUUUAAAUUAUUUUAUAUGUUAUUAUAUGUUAUUGUUAUUGUCAUCAUAUAUUUAACAGAUACUUACAUAUGUAAGAAAAUAAUAUCCCACAUCUUAUUAACUUAUAAAAAUAAUUUCAUAACAACAAAAUCCUGGAUUUUUUUGGCAACGAAAAUCUUGGUGAUUGUGUACAAAAGCUUGGUAAGAGUUAAGGACCAAUGUAAUAAUAAAUCACUUAUUAUUUAAAUAUAUUUAUAACAAAAUGCUCAGGCCCUGUUUAUUUUUUGAUAACAUUGUUGCGCCCAACCCAACAUUAUAAUUAGAAUCAGACCAGCAAAAUCAUGUAUUUCGAGAAAGUGCAAAUGGCCUGUAAUUUUUUAGGAAAAAAAUAAAUGGGCCGCAUGGACGCUACAUUAUUUGUUCACCCAGCCCAGCUAAUGGACUGUAAUUCUAAAAAAAGAGAUCUAAUUGACUGUAAAUUCUAAAAAAAUUGGUUGAAUACGUGCCACAUUUUGGAGGCUGAAAUGUGGGCCAAUAGGUCGAAACCAGUGCAAGUCGUUGUCAACUUAGUCAACAAAUAAUUCUCACAAUGUUAGCCGUUGGAUUUACAUCCAACGACCGCCAUCCAUCUUCAAUCUCUCGUCUUCUUCCUCCAGCGACGCCGGGACCACCUGCUCCCGCCUACUACUGCUAGCAGCACUGCUUAGCACGCUUCCCUGUUAAGCACUACCCCACCGUUGGCCAGGCCAUCCCUCCACCCCUCCACACCUCCUGUUCUUCUCCACCGACUGCCGAACCACACCGUACCAGAACUAGUUAACCCUCGUACACCUCUCCGUCUAUGACUCUACUCCCGCAUCUUCCCAUCUCCGGCUCGUUGCUGUCCGAGACCUCGCCAUCGUCCACCAUGUUGGAUGCGCUCGGCGCGGAGUGGUCAACGUGGUCAACGAGCGACAUCCAUCGAAAGUAGAUUGUGCAUGGAGUGGCUGACAGCUGGGUCCACGGCCGCACACAAGGAAAUGCCUCCUUAUUAUGCGCAAAAUAAUGAUUCCUCCACCUAACAGCUGGGACCCACUGGAAUGGCCUCUGUAUUUCAUAAAAAAAAUGUUUCCCCUGUUGACAGGUCGGACCCACCAACUAUAUCUUUGCACGCAAGGAAGGGCCUCCUUAUUACGCACAAAAAAAUGAAUACCCCUGCUAGCUGGGACCCACCAUAGUGGGAGGCUGACUUGUGGGCCUACUAAGUUGAUGGGGACGGAGGGCUUUGUCAAGGUAGUCAAUAUGAACGAUUCUAGCUCUAGUGACUGUACGAUGUCCAUCCAAUGGCCAUAGUGCUUCUUCAACCUCUGGUCUUCUUGAUCCAGCCACCCAAACCAGCGUCGGUCGUGCCGCGUGCUCCUGCCUCCCGUGGCCAGCUAUGAUGUCGUGGAGGCCUCAUCGCCCCCUACUACUCCCACCGAUGGCCAGGCCAUUCCUCUACUCACCCACACCCCCUAUUAUUCUGCAACGACGGCAGCCUCACACCACAGUCAAACCAGUGAACCCUCGUACUCCUCUCCGCAUGGGCAUCCACUGUCGUGUCUUCCCCUUCCUAGGCCUCGCCGUCGUCCACAGCCCUGGUUCUCUCGGCACGAUGUGGUCAACAUGGUCAAGGAAUGACUUCCAUCGGAAGAGUACUGUACGUGGAGAGGCUGACAGCUGGGUCCACGGCCGCAGCAAGGAAGUGCCUCCUUAUUACGCAGAAAAUAAUGAUUCCUCCACCUGACAACGGGGACCCACCGGACGGGCCACCAUAUUUCGUGGAAAAAUGUUUCCCCCUAACUGCUAGGACCCAACAGCUACAUCUUCACACGCAAGGAAGUGCGUCCAUAUUAUGGGCAAAAAAAUGAUUCGCCCCCUGACUACUGGGACCCACCACUACAUCUUCGCACGCAAGGAAGUGCCUGACAGUUAGGACCCACCUAGUCGAAGCAUAGUGUUGUCAUUCUGGUCGCGAACGUGUACGUACAUACUGGUCGAUCGGUCUGUCUGCAGGCUGCAAUGAUGAACCGUGGCCGUGCAAGGAAGGGCACGUGUCAUAGUAGAGGCGCACACGUAGCAUGUACAUGUAUGUACAACAGCCAGGGUGCAAGAAAGUAAAUACGGCCACAUGCGUACAUACGGGCGGGGUCUCGAACGCCUACUCGCGCAUACGUACGGCCAGGGCUGGUGUACAUGGCUGGGUUGGAACGGAGAAACUGUGUCAUUGUCGUGUACAUGGGGAGCCAACCGGCUGGGUCAGAAUGGAAUGCAUCAUCGUGUUCAUCAGGAGCCAAACGGCUUGGACGGAACUGACGAUGGAAAUGAGGCCUAGCGUACCGCAGAACGAAGGAAACAGCCUUGUGUUCGACUGGCCACAGUUGAAACGGGUUCUUGUUCAUCGGGAGGGGUCUGGCAUAGCGCAAAACGGAGGAAACAGACUUUUGUUGGACCUCCUAUGGUCGAAACGGGUCUUGUUGAUCGGGAGGGGUGUGGCAUACCGCAAAACAAAGGAAACGGACUUGUGUUGGAGCGCUAUGGUCGAAACGGGGGUCCUGUUCAUCGGGAGGGGUGUGGCGUACCGCAAAACGGGACUCCACGGGAUACAGUUCAUCUCUACCAUCGACCUCCUCCGGCCUCCACGGGCUACUGUUCAUCCACCGUCGACCUCCUCCAGCCUCCACCUGCGACUGUUCAUCCACAGGCUCCUUUUCAUACAGCCUCCACUGCGCACUCCUCCACCGGCUAUUAUUCAACCGGCCCUCUCCACGGGGUCCUGUUCAACCACCCCUCCACAGGCUACUAUUCAUCCAGCCCUCCACCUGCUACUGCUCAACCAGCCCUCCACCGGCUACUGUGCAACCUUCCCUCCACGGGGUCCUGUUCAUCUAGCCCUCCACGGGGUCAUGUUCAUCCAUGCCCAAUCGGCUCGAUCGAUCGGGGUCCUAUUCAUCCAAUGACAACACCACGGGGUCCUAUUCAUCCAAUCCCCCACCAGGAACAGUUCAUCCAAACCCCCCAACAAUGCUCACUGUUCAUCCAGAGGCAGCAUCGAUCGACUUCAGUUAGCAGCAGCAGCAAAGGAAUCGCUCGAUCAGGUUUAGCUAACAGCCAUCGAUCGAUUGUUCGGGUUCAGUAAUGCGUAGCAUGUAGUGCAAUCGCUCGGGUUCAGUUAGGCGAACGCCUUGCUCGGGUUCAGUUAGAGCCCAAUGCCUCGCACCCACGUGCGUACGUGUACGAGAGAAACGCGCAUCGCUUGGCCCCCGACCACCCACCGUAACCAGGAACUCCCCGAUAUUUUCCUCGCCCUCGCUUCCACCAUGACUUUUUCCAUCAUGUACGGCCCAAAGAAUGUCAUGCAGCUGCGUCUCCGGCCCACCCAGGACAAAAAGCCCAUUUUUUGUCAUGAUUUUUUAUCAUAGAAAUAAAAGCCCACCACAUCUAUGGUGAUACCGGGUUUUGUCACAAUUAUCGUCAUAAAAGUGUCAUAAGUAUGACAGGAAAAAAAUUCAUUCGGCUUAUAAUGUCACGGAUGUGUCUUUUUUUGUAGUGAGUACUCCUCUGACCAAACCAGAUGCCUCAAGCUUAUUAAUCUCCUCGGCAAUGAGCUGCUGCCACUCAAAGGCCUGCUUCUGCACCUUUUGCUUGACGGGUCGGGCAUGUGGGCAGACAACAAGGUGGUGCUCAAUUACCUCCCUGGAAACACCGGGGAUAUCAGAUGGUUGCCAGGCAAACACAUCGAUAGUCGCCCACAGGAAGGCAAUGAGCGCGCUUUCCUAUUUUUCAUCAAGGGUGGCGCUGAUAGUAAAAGUACCAUCAACACCAUCCAGCCCUGCCGGGACCUUCUUCACAUGGGGUGCAGCAGCCUUGGCCCUCUUGCUGUUGGAACACUCCGGCACGUCAUCAACGGGUAUCGUGCACUCGGUAGGGGCACGCUUCCCGGAUUCCUUGCCAAAGUCCCUACAAUCCUUCUUCUUUCCUUUACUUUCCUUGGCGGGCACCGCUGCUUCAGGAGCCUCUAUCGCGAUAGCGUUCUGAUACAUCUUAUCCAUGCAUAUCAUCACAUCUUUCUUAUCUUAUGGAAUGGAAAUGACGCCCAUUGGGUCUGACAUCUUCAAGGUGUUGUAGGCAUAGUGGGAUGCCGCCAUGAACUUGUCCAGGGCAGGGCGCCCAAGAAUUCCAUUGUAUGGCAGGGGAAGGUCGACCACAUCAAACACAAUCUUCUCAGUCCGGUAGUUCAACUCACCCCCAAACGUCACCGACAAUGUGAUCUUUCCCUUAGGAUGGCUCCUGCCGGGAUUAACUCCUUGAAACGUGCCAGUGGCCUUAAGCUCUUCUUUUACUCUCUGAAGCUCGCUGAGAACAUGUGGGGAGAUCAGAUUCAACCCAGCCCCGCCAUCAACUAACAUCUUUGUGACCCUGAGGUUGCAGAUUGUUGGGGAGACCAACAACGGCAGGCACCCCACCGCAGUGGUGCGGUCAGGGUGAUCCUCCUCAUGAAAGAUGAUGGGCAUGUGUGACCAUUUGAGUGGUUUCCAUGAAGUUGCCGCUGGCUCCACGACAUUGACUUCACGCGCCCAUUGCUUAUGUUGGCGGUGAGAGGAGUGCAAAGAUGCACCCCCCCGUCAAUGCACAAGGCGUCGGUGGCCUUCUGGAAUUCCUGCUCACUAGUUUCCUCUUCAUCCCCUUCAUCACUUCCAGCAUCAUUAUCCUCCUUCUCUCUGUCCCUCACGGGUUUCCCUUGGUUCCAAGGAGCUUUGCUAGGGCAAUUUGCUUCACCGCCCCGGCCCUUACCGCCAGUAUUAUUCUGACCUCUCUCCGUAUCUCGCUUCUCAUACUCAGCCCUCUGCUUCUUGACGAGCUACCCAACUUGAUGACACUCCUGGAGAUUGUGUCCCUUGGUCCGAUGGAUCUUGCAGUAUGACCCAUCACUCUUUCUAGCUUUCUCGGCAGCCGCGGCCUCCCGGCAGUCAGCGCACGCGGCAACUUCCUUGCUGGGGGCUUCGGCUUUUGCCUUCUUUCUAGUACCAGGUGUGCCCAAUCCCUCAACGGUCAUCACUACCAUAUCCUUACACUUCUUGUUGUGCUUCUUAUUCUUCUUCUUCUGGCUAGUGGUCUUAUCGUCAUUUUCUGAGUCGUUGUCGAUGCAAUCCUCCUCUCCGGGAAGCUUCCUCCCUUCCUCCACCCGAGCACAUUUGUCCACCAAAGUGUACAGCUCCUUCACAGUCUUGGGAAGCUUGACGUUCAUCUUGGAAUGUAUCCUUUGGUUGCGCACAUUAGACUGAAAGGAGGCUAUCACAGCUGUCGGGUGGAUAUCUAGGAUAUUACUGUGAACUCUGUUCAACCUUUGCAAGUACUUCCACAGAGUUUCUCCUUCUUUCUGCUGGAGGAGCUGCAAAUCGCUGGGCCGCCCUGGUUCUUGAUGGCCCCCCGUGAAGGCACCAAUUAACUCAUGUCACAGGUUAGCCCAGAAUGAGAUGGAGUUCUCCGGCAAGUGCAUCAACCAAGACCUUACGUUAGACUUAAGUGCCAAAGGGAAAUAAUUGGCAAAUACCUUCUCAUCUCUUCCUCCGGUAGCCUGAACAGCGAAGGUGUAGAUGCUCAAGAACUCUGCUGGGUUCAAUCUUCCAUCAUACUUCUCAGGUAUCUCUGGCUUGAACGUGCGAGCGGACGGCCAACGGACUUGCCAUAGCUCAUGGGUGAAGGCAGGGCACCCGACCUCGGAAGGUAGGUACCCGCCAUCUCUGAGCAUGGGCUCAUUGACGUUGAGGCCAUCGUAACCGUUGGGUUGUAGGUAGACGUCACGACGCCGUACGGUGACUACGCGCGCGGCUUCUCUCCGCCUGUCCUCCGGGGCCCACCGUGGUUCUUGCCAUGCUUGAGGAUCAGAGGAAGCCAUCGAUACGUCGUCGGCCUCUUGGAUACGUGGCUCUCAUACAGCCUACCGAGGUGGGGACUACACCGUGGGAGCAGCCCCUUCUAUGCGGCUAGCUGCACAAGCCGUUGUCAUUGCCUGGGGAGGCCGAGGCGGGCUAGUCCGCUAAGAUCCUCCUGCCUCAGCGAAACAAUCAAGCUUUGGAUAGUGGACCGCCACUCGUCCAUCUGAUCAUCUACUGGUGGGAAUCUCAACAGCAACUGGGCCCACGCCAUGGCUUCGGAGGCAGUGCUUGGCAUGGGCGGAGAUGAUGAAGACCGCUGCAUCGCUCGGCUCCUGACGGCACCGGUGGUGACCGCGUCGCGUCCUCACUGCCGUGAGCUAGCCGCUUGGAUAGUGUGGUCACACAACAAAGGCGCUUGAGUGUCAGCGGCCCUGUCGGGCACAGUAGCUGGGCUAGCUUGUUCUGAAGGCGGCAGGUGCCUCGUGGUCAUACCCAUGGCAGGGGCGGCCGGAGGGUUGCGAUUCGCCUCAGAACGAGCGCCGCCACUACGGCUGUGCCCUUUGGCAAGGAGAGAGAGUGCAUGUAAAGUAAUUCCCCCACCCGUACGUCGAGAAGCAUGCCAUUGGGAUCUUGUUGAUGUUGUCCUUCCCUGGCGCUUCUUGCUUCGGUCACGGGGAUAGCGGUGACAACGCCUCCUGCAUCAAUUGCGCCUCCCUGACGUCAACGUCUUCACGUGCCCCCUCAUUUCCUGCGACGUUGGCAGUUGAUAACCCACAAGUAUAGGAGAUCGCAAUAGUUUUUGAGGGUAGAGUAUUCAACCCAAAUUUAUUGAUUCGACACAAGGGGAGCCAAAGAAUAUUCUCAAGUAUUAGCAGUUGAGUUGUCAAUUCAACCACACCUGGAUAACUUAGUAUCUGCAGCAAAGUAUUUAGUAGCAAAGUAGUAUGAAAGUAAUGGUAAUAGUGGCAAAGUAAAGAUAUCGGUUUUGUAGUAAUUGUAAUAGUAGCAAUGGAAAAGUAAAUAAGAAAAGCACAAUAUGUGAAAAGCUCGUAGGCAUUGGAUCAGUGAUGGAUAGUUAUGUCCGAUGUGAUUCCUCAUGUAAUAGUUAUAACAUAGGGUGACACAGAACUAGCUCCAAUUCAUCAAUGUAAUGUAGGCAUGUAUUCCGAAUAUAGUCAUAUGUGCUUAUGGAAAAGAACUUGCAUGACAUCUUUUGUCCUACCCUCCCGUGGCAGCGGGGUCCUAAUGGAAACUAAGGGAUAUUAAGGACUCCUUUUAAUAGAGAACCGGACCAAAGCAUUAGCACAUAGUGAAUAAAUGAACUCCUCAAACUACGGUCAUCACCAAGAAGUAUCCCGAUUAUUGUCACUUCGGGGUUGUCGGAUCAUAACACGUAAUAGGUGGCUAUAGACUUGCAAGAUAGGAUCAAGAACUCACGUAUAUUCAUAAAAAUAUAAUAGGUUCAGAUCUGAAAUCAUGGCACUCGGGCCCUAGUGACAAGCAUUAAGCAUAGCAAAGUCAUAGCAAUAUCAAUCUCAGAACAUAGUGGAUACUAGGGAUCAAACCCUAACAAAACUAACUUGAUUACAUGGUAAAUCUCAUCCAACCCAUCACCGUCAAGCAAGCCUACGAUGGAAUUACUCACGCAUGGCGGUGAGCAUCAUGAAAUUGGAGAUGGAGGAUGGUUGAUGAUGAAGACGCCGAUGAAUCCCCCUCUCCGGAGCCCUGAACGGACUCCAGAUCAGCCCUCACGAGAGAGAUUAGGGCUUGGCGGCGGCUCCGUAUCGUAAAACGCAAUGAAACUUUCUCUCUGAUUUUUCUAUGCGAAACAGAAUAUAUAGAGUUGGAGUUGAGGUCGGUGGAGCAUCAGGGGGCCCACGAGAUAGGGGGCGCGCCCCCCACCCUCGUGGACAGGGUGUGGGGCCCCUAGCCUUGAUUCUUUUGCCAGUAUUUUUUAUAUUUUCCAAAAGUUAUCUCUGUGGAUUUUCAGGUCAUUCCGAGAACUUUUAUUUUCUGCACAAUAAAUAACACCAUGGCAGUUCUGCUGAAAACAGCGUUAGCCCGGGUUAGUUUCAUUCAAAUCAUGCAAGUUAGAGUCCAAAACAAGGGCAAAAGUGUUUGGAAAAGUAGAUAUGUUGGAGACGUAUCAACUCCCCCAAGCUUAAACCUUUGCUUGUCCUCAAGCAAUUCAGUUGAUAAACUGAAAGUGAUAAAGAAAAACUUUUACAAACUCUAUUUGCUCUUGUUAUUAUAAAUAUGUAAAGCCAGCAUUCAAGUUUUCAGCAAAGAUUAUGAACUAACCAUAUUCACAAUAACACUUAGGUCUCAUGUUUACUCAUAUCAAUGGCAUAAUCAACUAACGAGCAAUAAUAAUAAAUCUCGGAUGACAACACUUUCUCAAAACAACCGUAAUAUGAUAUAACAAGAUGGUAUCUCGCUAGCCCUUUCUGAGACCGCAAAACAUAAAUGCAGAGCACCUUUAAAGAUCAAGGACUGACUAAACAUUGUAAUUCAUGGUAAAAGAGAUCUAGUGAAGUCAUACCCAAUAUAAACUAAUAGUAAUGCAUGCAAAUGACAAUGUGCUCUCCAGCGGGUGCUUUUUAAUAAGAGGGUGAUGACUCAACAUAAAAUUAAAUAGAUAGGCCCUUCGCAGAGGGAAGCAGGGAUUUGUAGAGGUGCCAGAGCUCGAUUUUGAAAUAGAGAUGAAUAACAUUUUGAGCGGUAUACUUUCACUGUCAACGCAACAACUAUGAGAUGUCGAUAUCUUCCAUGCUACAUACAUUAUAGGUGGUUCCCAAACAGAAUGGUAAAGUUUAUACUCCCCCACCACCAACAAGCAUCAAUCCAUGGCUUGCUCGAAACAACGAGUGCCUCCAACUAGCAACAGCCCUAGGGAAGUUUUGUUUAAUUAUUUUGAUUUGCUUUGAUCUUUUUGAUCAUGGGACUGGGCAUCCCGGUUACCAGCCAUUUUCUCGUGAAUGAGGAGCGGAGUCCACUCCUCUUGAGAAUAACCCACCUAGCAUGGAAGAUACAGACAACCCUAGUUGAAACAUGAGCUGCUCGAGCAUACAAAACAGAAUUUCAUUUGAGGGUUUGGAGUUUGGCACAUACAAAUUUACUUGGAACGGCAAGUAAAUACUGCAUAUAGGAAGGUAUAGUGGACUCAUAUGGAAUAACUUUAGGGUCUAUGGAGUUUGGAUGCAUAAGCAGUAUUCCCACUUAGUAAAGGUGAAGGCUAGUAAAAGACUGGGAAGCGACCAACUGAGAGAACGACAACAGUCAUGAACAUAAUCAACACCGAGUGCAAGCAUGAGUAGGAUAUAAUCCACCCUGAACAUAAAUAUCAUGAAGGCUAUGUUGAUUUUGUUUUCAACUACAUGCGUGAACAUGUGCCAACUCAAGUCACUCGAGUCAUUCAAAGGAGGAUACCACCCUAUCAUACCACAUCACAACCAUUUUAAUAGCAUGUUGGCGCGCAAGGUAAACCAUUAUAAGCUCCUAGCUAAUUAAGCAUGGCAUAAGCAACUAUAAUCUCUAAUUGUCAUUGCUGUCGGAUAUCGGGUUCCGGCAAAACCCUUAAGGUUCAAACUCUGGGGUCCGCACGAAGAUCUUCUCCCUACCGAUCCACGCCCCAAAGCUUCGCCGUGAAUCUAAGCUACACGAUGAACAACACAAGGGACACAAGGUUUAUACUAGUUCGGGCCACUGUUGUGGUAUAAUACCCUACUCUAGUGUGUGGUGGUGGAUUCCCUCUAGGGCUGAUGAUGAAAAGUACAGAGGAAGAACAGCCUCGUGAGGGGUGUUCUUGAGCUGGUGGGUUUGGAGAGGAAUGGCUCCGUCUUUGUUGGCUAUCGGUCCGAUCUCUCGAUCCCCUCUCUACUAUGGUGGCUAUCUCUAUUUAUAGAGGCCUUGGUCCUCAUCCCAAAUAUUGCGGGAAGGGAGCCAACAACGGCCAUUUUGAAGGUGGGCAACUAGUACAAUUUAUCCUGACUAAAGUUGGUCUUCGACUGCCAAAGGCACUGGCAAUUACGCCGUCUUGGGCUCCACGGUGACCUCCGUCCUGCCGCUCUGCUGGUCUUGGUCCCGUUGCACCGAUAUGGCAACCUUUGCUUGAUGCCUCGGUACUCCGCGCCUGCGCUUGCCCCCUUUGCACCAAAGAGGAAGCGAGGACACUGCGCUGGCUGGCGCCCGCCUGGUCUCGAUCGUCAUGGCCUGCGUCAUGAGCACUGUCGGUGUCAAAACCGGCGGAUCUCGGGUAGGGGGUCCCGAUCUGUGCGUCUUAGGCUGAUGGUAAUAGGAAGCGAGGGACACAAUGUUUACCCAGGUUCGGGCCCUCUCGAUGGAGGUAAAACCCUACUUCCUGCUUGAUUAAUAUUGAAGAUAUGUGGAAUACAAGAGUUGAUCUACCACGAGAUCGUAGAGGCUAAACCCUAAGAGCUAGACUAUGAUGGUAUGUUUGUAAUUGUGAUUGGCCUUCUAAGGACCAUGCUCUCCGGUUUAUAUAGACACCGGAGAGCUAGGGUUUACAUGGAGUCGGUUUACAAGGAAGGAAACAUAAUAUCUGGAUCGCCAAGCUUGUCUUCCACGCGAAGGAGAGUCCCUUACGGACACGAGCCAAAGUCUUGAGUCUUGUAUCUUCACGCUUCUAUAGUCCGGACGAUGUAUAUAGUCCGGCUGUCCGGAUACCCCCUUAUCCAGGACUCCCUCAGUAGCCCCCGAACCAGGCUUCAAUGACGAUGAGUCCGACGCGCAGUCUUGUUUUUGGCAUUGCAAGGCGGGUUCCUCCUCCGAAUACUCCAAGGUUAUUAUCGAACACGCAGGUCGUGUCCAGAUCUGCAAAAUGAUCUUCACAUACCACCGUAGGGAAAAUGAUACUUCAGCUGACAACUUUUUAGACGACGGGAUAUGUCAUUACGGUCAGGUUAUUAUUCGAACCGUUUUUCCCACAACCAACCAUAGCGUAUACUGCGAGGCGGUUUCCUGAGCACGUCUUGUCGAAGCGAAGAUCGUGUCCCCUUAUCACGAGAUUCUCAUCAAUACGGGUAUGGGUAAUCCAACCGUACCGCUAAUCGCAGCGAGCGGGAGGCGAGCGGGUUCCACCAGGCAAGUGGGGAGGCACGAAAAGCUCUUACCUUCUCUUAUAAAGAGAUAGGGCAUCUUCCUCUUUUACCCACGCCUUCUCCUUCUGCUAACUCACUUCCCUCUGCUCGAGCCCUAACGCCCGAGCGCCUUUCUUUUCCAUUGAAGAGAGGGUUUCCAAAGAUGUCCGGAUCUGGAGCAGGAGGCAAAUGGAUGGCCUCUACCGUCCGGGAGAAGUAUAUCAAGAAGCUCCGGGAAGCCGGGUAUUUGGCCAAGGAGAUUGGCCACCGUCUCCCACCGGCGGGACAGGUUGUCCCUACUCCGGAGCCCCACGAGAGAGUCGUGUUCCUUCCCCAUUUUGUCUGAGGGCUCGGGUUUCCCCUACACCCAUUUAUACGUGGAGUCAUGUAUUACUAUGGGGUUGAUUUUCAUGAUCUUUCCCCCCAACUCUUUUCUCAAUAUCUCGACGUUCAUCGUCGCAUGCGAGGCCUUCCUCCGGAUUCCGCCUCACUUCGGCCUGUGGUUGAAGAUUUUCAAUGUGAAGCCCAAGGUGGUGAGUGGCGAACACGCCGAGUGCGGCGGCGCCAUGGUGAGAAAGAUGCCCAAGGUCGUUUGGCCGAAGGGCACUUUUAACGACUCCGUCAAGGAAUGGCAGCAGUAGUGGUUUUAUAUCACUGAACCAUGCGGCGAAGAAUGGGCAGCAGCUCUUGAGUUCAGAUCCGGAGCUCCGCUGCGGCUUACGUCCUGGCCCAAGAAGGGCCCAAACUAGUGCUCGCCCAAUGAGCUGUCACUGCUCCUGACGCGUGCUCGGAAUAUGGUCGACAAGGACGUCAAGCUUGUUGACGUGGUCCAGGUGAUGCUAGUUUACCUGGUUCUCCCUUGCUAGCGUCGAGCCUGUACUUUAUGGGAAUUCGACCCAUCCGAGCACCAAACCCUCCGAGAGCUCUAUGAUUCCUCCCACAAGGAUAUCUCGAAGGUGCUCUUUAAGUCCAGCAAAUCAUGGCCGAACUCAUCUGAGGAUCGGGGGUAUCAAUUAUCCCAUUCUGCAAGCCCAGUUAGUUAUAGCCACGCCCCCUCCGUCCAGGCUUCAACCGGCAUAUCAUGAGGGGGGCAUUUUAAUCGUGCUUCAUUGUGGCUUUAGGGAUGGAUAAAAAGGGUGGAGCGGAUACAAUGUCCGGCCCCACUGCCGGAGGAACCGGCCGGACCUCUUCUGACAAAGAUGCUGGUCCCUUCACCUUACAAGGCGCCCAAGAAGGAGGCCCCCAAGUAGGUCAAGAAGACCAGGAGUGGCCUCCAUUGUCGCGAGGCUCCAGACACCAGGUCCGAAGGCUCUAGCAACGCUCCUUCUUCCGAAGACGAAGAGGAGGAGGCAGAGGAGGACGAGCCUCGCUCUGCCGACGGGAAGAAGCAUGCAACUGCCCCGUCCCUGGAGGCCGAGUUGCCCAAGAGAAGGUGAGGUUCCCCUCCAGAGGCAUCCACCCCGGCUGCCGAUAACAUCCCGGAGUGGGAUACCGAGGCCCAGCCCCUGAGAAAAUCGUAAGUAACCGAAAUCCAAAUACGCCUAUGUAUUCAGGGUUGUCCGGGUAUUGUAGUUUUAACUGUCGCCACAUCUCGCACAGCCCGGCAAGGUCUCCUGCCGGACAAUCCUCAUCGGAGGAUUCGUUGAGCUCGAAUGCUAUGGCGAGUGAGACGCCUCUGGGGAUUCCUUUUCCAAAGUCCAGGCGCGACACCGAGGUGUCAUCUCAAAGAGACUCGGGGCAGGAUAAAGUUCUGGAGGCCCCUAAGGCUCCAGGAUUGGGCCAGUAGCCAUCCUCCAUGGAGGGAGGUUUGCUUACUCCACUGGCCACCUCAGUAUACGCCGAGCUGUCAGGCGGUCUGUUGAUAGCGUUAAAGAACGCGUCCGUCGUUGAUGAACAUCGGACCCUUAUGGGUGCGGUGGUUGGAAAGAUCCAGGCUGCCGAAAGCGGGCUGAAUGAGUCCUGUCUUGGCCUUAUAAAGGCCUUUGAGGUAUAGUUUCUAAGGAACCUUUAAACAAUUAGUACGAUAUGAGGAGUACCCCUGAUACACUGUCCGGAAAAAGAAAGCCGGGCAGGGGAUCAAAUCCUCAGUUGUAAUGGGAACUUUUAAUGAUGUAUACCCAUCUUUUUGAAAACAGGCGUCUGUGGAGAGGACGGCCGCUCGUGAUGCGGAAGUGUCCGAACUGAAAGAGAGCCUGAGACGGGCCGAAGAAGAACUUGGCCGUGUGAAGAAGCAAUUGGAGGAGAGGCAAGGUAUGUUUGGACAUUGUCUUGCGUUGGGCACAAAUCAAUAAGUGUGCCUAUUUGAAAAGUAUUUAUGUUAUAUGCCCUAGGAGCGAGUGCCGAAUAUGAGGCGCUGAAGAAAGAGGCGGCUGAUGCCCAAGAGAAGGCUGCCGCCGAACAGGCUCUGCGUGAAAAACACGAGGCCAGGGUCGUCAUAGCUGAGCGGGAGCUUCAGGAUGCUAUGACGAAAAGCGAGAGCUUGGAGCAGAGUUUAGUACGGAAAGAAUCCGAACUCGCCCAAGCUCUCCAAGCUGCGGAAGAUGCUCGGGAAGAAGCCCGAGGUGUUGUACGGGACAUUCAGGAGGCCCGGAAAGUUGUGGCUGGUAAGGUCUGUUGUAUCUAUGGCCGUUAUGAUGUUAUAAUAUGGAGAACUCUAAGCGGCAAGCUGAAUUCUUGAUUUUGCAGGGGCGUUUGCGGAUCUGCCUCGUAGCAUAUCAGAUGCGGCCCAAUUUUAUCGGUCCGAGGAGAGGGAGUCUGCGGGGAGGAACUUCUGGUCGCAGUAUCUAGCGCUGAACUAUUCAGUGCCUUUUAUCGAUCACCUGAAGCAGCUGGUCAAACUGCACCAGGCGGCCGAACAGCCAUGAAGGACUUGGUCAUUCGGUUGUGGCCUGCAGAGCCAAUUCCCAGCAGUUUCUUCGGACUCAUUAAGCGGAUUGUGGGCGCAUGUCCUCGGCUUGAUAUUAUCAAGUGAUCAGUCUGUAUAGAAAGUGCGCGAAUGGUGCUUGCCCAUGCAAAAGUGCAUUGGGGGAAGCUUAACACAGAAAAACUGAUAACUAAGGGGCCACCAGAGGGUAAGGAGCAUCGCAAGCCCGAACUGUAUUAUGAAGGUGUAAUGAAGGGUGCCCGCCUGGCAGCGGAUAAGUGCACCAAAGACAUUAUAUUUCCCUGAGGGCAUUUUUGCCAUCGUUUGUAAUAUGGGAUAAUGGCACUUUUAUUAUAUGUUGCCUAUUUGGUUUGAACAUGUGUUCUUCCUUUACGGCUGUUUAUUGUAUAUAAAUUCUGAGAGUUGGCCAGUCAUCGGCUUCAGCCCCCACGAGAAAAGUACGGGGGUGUUCGGGGUAUUUCUGAACACUCUUUAUCCCAUUGUUGGGUCCUUAUAAGGAGGCGUUUCUCACCACGAACCAGGCAAUCGGACUAUAGGGCUUUACUACUCUCACUUAGCCAUAGGAAUUCGAGUAUGGUCGGCGCAGCCCCUUGUGUCCGGAAGGCCAGACUAGGGGCUCUAUUGGCGCCUGAUCGGUAGACCGAUCCGUUGCAAUCUACAUUUUAUAGUGGCGUUAUGCGGAAUAAAUCUUUAAGGAUUUUGCAACCUCUUGAACAGCUAGCCAGCUCUCGCCGCAUCAUGACAGUUGGUUUUCGGCUUUCUCUACUGAGGUGCUCGUCCGGCAGAUCCGGGACAUAAUCGCAGUAGUUAUCCCAGUGCUACCUUUGCCGACGGAACGGAACGUAAGGUACCAAAACAUGGGAGCCGGGCAAACCCAACCAAUGACCCAAGACAUGAUUCGGAGCUGAUGCAUAUAGUGCUAUAAGUUCGGGGUGCCGAGCGACCAAGAAGGUGGUCGGACUUUAUUGCCGUACUGUGGAGCGCCUAGCAUAACCGGGCGUAACACAAACCGUUGCUGCCACUUUUAUGGCAAAAAGGCGUCGAUGAUAAACGACGAACGGUCCAUGUUUAGUUAAGUCUACGCAUUGCAGUAAUAUGAUAUGUCCAUGCAUAUGAAUGCGAUUUAUGAUUAUGAAAAAGAGAUGGUUUUCUGGCAGAACCUGUGGUGGCCAGACUGGAGGGGGCUGUGAAUGGAUGAAAGUGAAUCCGAACUGUCGUCUACCUGCAUGGUCCUGUCCUUGUGUGUCCGGGCCGACUUCACGCCGCCAAACCUGUUCUGCAUAAGAGUUAGUUUGUGAAGGUAAGUGAGCGGAGGGCGCCGAACGUCCUCCUAUGGUUGGUCCAAAGGUUCCUAAUCGGACCCUGGUGACCCCAGCCGCUAUUCGAGAAGCAGCCCGGACUCCUAAGUUAGUGUCCGGAUAGUUGGCUGUCAUAUCAAAAAUAUUGACAGGCAUGCGCGACUUGCUACUCUGGCAGCUGUAUGAUCUCCGCUUCUGAGGGCGGGGUUUGGCUCUGCAUGCAGGCGUGAGUGUAUUACCGGUGUUGGCCUGAUGAUUUACCACGUGGAAUCUAGACAACGUGGUGCAUCCUGUUAGCAUACGGUGUGAUACCGUAUAGGGGGAAUGCGCCGAUGGCGCGGCUUUAUUUGGUUAUCUGAAAACAACCGUUAGGGCGGCAGGCCAAUGGUCCUGGCCUUUGUGCCUGGCACCUUGUAGAAGAUGUUAUUUGUACGCCCGCUUGGGCUUUUAUUGUUUGAGGAGCCCCUGGACUGUUAGGUCUUGGGGUAUGCAAUUGAAUUGUUGUGGUUUGUAUGGUAGGGGGCGAUCGGCCGUACUGUUGUGCUGGGGGGGGGGGGGCUUUUGACUAAGCGCCUCCCCUCAAUGUUUCCGGCACAUGCCUGGUUGCUUUAUUUUGGAGAUCUGGCAUUCUCUAUUAGUAUGUUUUGCCGUUCUUUUGGGAGUACCGUGAAUUUCGCACGGCUGAUCGAGUUCGUGGCUUGGGCCGAAUAGGCUUGAGCUGUUCCUUAUCCGUUGACUGGACUAGGAUUUGCUGAACUUGAUACCGGCUUCCCUGAUUUGUCGUUUAUGACCAUUGCACCAGGGCUUGAGGCUGCUUCUUCGUGUAUCCUUCUUGUUGGUUUGGACCGUAGUGGUGUGCGGACGUCGGGUUGUGUGCCUUUGAUUUUCCUGCUUAGGUUGAGGUAGCCGCGUGUGCCCUUUGUUAGGUGGUCGAGUCCGUACUUCUCGGUGGCCAGGAUCUUGGUCCACCAUUCUAUUAGCAAAUCCUGUUCGGACUUAAGCUGCUCUUGCUUCCUUUGCAGACUCUUUGCAGUGGCUAUGAGUCGUCGCCUAAAGCGAACUUGUUCCACUGGGUCUUCAGGCAUGCCAAAUUCGUCAUUGUUGAGGCUUACCUCGUCUUCGGAGGGGGGUGUAUAGUUGUUUCUCUCCAAGUAUCCCGCUGUGGCCUGUACGGCCUGCUUGAUGGUUGGCUGAUCAGGACUGUAUUCCCCUUCGGUACUAUCCGGAUCAUCUCCGGGACCGGUAUUGAUGUGGCGGGGCUUGGAGUGGCGUCGGAGACGCCCAUAUUUUGCUUUUCCUCCCGAGGGGUUGUCCUCCACUGCCUCGUCGCCGUUGGUUUCUUUCGGAGUGUCCACCAUGUAUAUAUCGUUUGAAGAGGUGGUUGUCCACCGCCCUAUGAGCAGUGGCUCCUGUAUGUCUCCUGCAUUGUCGUCCAUACCGUUGAUGUCUUCGAAGUCAAAGUCGAGCACGUUGGUUAAAUCAUCGAUUGUGGCGACGAAGUGGGUGGUGGGUGGGCAGUGAAUUCCUUCAUCGCCUACUUCCCACUCAAGCCGGACAUAAUUCGGCUCAGAGCCUCCUGACAGAGAGAGAGACUUUAAUGAAUUCAGCAUGUCACCAAAAGGCGAGUGCUGAAAGAUGUCCGCAGCGAUAAACUCCAUUACAGGAGCCCAGCCUGGCUCGGCUGGCUCGAGAGUGAGCGGACCAGGACCAACAACCGGAUAUGAGUCCGGGGCCCCAGGGUUACAGGCCUCCAGAGAGGUGAGACCCGUGUUCGGCUCCACCGCCGAUAAGUGUGCGGCCUGCGGGGCGGGGUCCAGCCCUCCGCCCGUAGGCAACGCAACCUGCCCUGGAUUUAGAUCCGGGGCUGCCUCGGGGAUGAUGUCCUGGGCAUUGUCCGACAACAGGUCUAGGCCGUGCUCGUCGUGGUUGUCCGGCGCUCCCGGCGUAGGCUUGAAUCCGUCGAAGAUCAAGUCUCCGCGGACAUCUGCCGUGUAGUUCAAGUUUCCGAACCAGAUCUGGCGGCCAGGGGCAAAGCUGUCGAUCUGCUCCAACUGGCCAAGCGAAUUGGCCCGUAGUGUGAAGCCGCCGAACAAAAAGAUCUGUCUGGGGAGAAAAGUCUCACCCUGGACCAUGUUGUUGACGGUUGAAGACGCCAUCAAGCCUCGAGGCGGCGACACAGAGGAACUCUCAAUGAAAGCACCAAUGUCGGUGUCAAAACCGACGGAUCUCGGGUAGGGGGUCCCGAUCUGUGCGUCUUAGGCUGAUGGUAACAGGAAGCGAGGGACACAAUGUUUACCCAGGUUCGGGCCCUCUCGAUGGAUGUAAAACCCUACUUCCUGCUUGAUUAAUAUUGAAGAUAUGUGGAAUACAAGAGUUGAUCUACCAUGAGAUCGUAGAGGCUAAACCCUAAGAGCUAUCCUAUGAUGGUAUGAUUGUAAUUGUGAUUGGCCUUCUAAGGACCAUGCUCUCCGGUUUAUAUAGACACCGGAGAGCUAGGGUUUACAUGGAGUCGGUUUACAAGGAAGGAAACAUAAUAUCCGGAUCGCCAAGCUUGUAUUCCACGCAAAGGAGAGUCCCUUCCGGACACGAGCCGAAGUCUUGAGUCCUUUAUCUUGAUGCUUCUAUAGUCCGGACGAUGUAUAUAGUCCGGCUGUCCGAAUACCCCCUUGUCCAGGACUCCCUCAAGCACCUCGCGAGGUACUCCCUGCCUUGAUCUCUCUGCCUCCUCACGAGCCUGCCCGGUGAGGCCACCCCUGAGGGGGCCUUGGAUCGUCCGCCCCGCAAGGCUUGGUCCCUCACGAGGGUUUUGAGCUUGGGCUGGUGUAGACGGGUCGUACUGGGCCACUGCUUGAGCCACGCCGCAGGCCACAGGCAGGCAAGUCUGGGGACCCCCGUUCCCAGAACGCCGACAGUAGCCCCCGGGCCCAAGGCGCUCCCGGACUUGGCUUAGUAGUGAUGCCAAAGGGCAAGUGCGGAGCGCCGCAGGCCCCAACAGCCUGCAGCCUUGGUCGCUGCAUGGCGGUUGAUUGAACGUGAGCGUCUCCGCUUCCCCAUGCUGCCUCGAUAACUGCCCGAUUUGAUGAGUCCCUGCUACAUGCAAAAUGAGUCAUGAUUACCUGCGAUCGUGGAGGCCGACGGUUGGCCUCCCUCAGGCUAUAAAUGUGGAGGGGCGCAGGCCCAUCCCCCUGCUGCACAUCUUCCUUCCCUCGCCUGAUUCUUCUUCCUCCUUGCUCCAGCUGCUUGCCGCAUCCCCAUGGCGCCCACGAAUUGGUUCUCGGCCGCGGAGAAGGGGAAAACUCACCAGGAAGGGCCUGGCUCCCCUCCGCCCAAGCGCGGCCGAGGUCGUCCUCACAAGCACCCCGCUACUCCUACAGCGGCUCCUCGUGGUCGCGGUGGUGGUCCUUCGCGCUGUGAUGGCUGACCGGUUGGCGCUGGAAGACGCGUCGUGGCUGUGCGGCCUCCCCGGCCACCCUUUCAUUCGGCAGAGGUACUGCCAGAGUUUGUCGUGUGGUCGGCAGAUCUGGCCGGCAACUGGCUCCAGCUCCCCCGCUUCUUUGUGGGCGAACUACCGGCUGAUGGCCCUAGUGGACUUUGGCUGCAGGCAGAUGGUUGUUGCAGCAGGGCCUCCUGGGUCGCGGUGGAGAUCUCCGUCGCCUGGAACGUGGCCCUAGCCCACGGCUGGCAGACGUUUGCCCACGCGCGUGGCCUGGGCCGGCGGUGCACCCUACACUUCAAGUUCGACGGCGACGCGACCCUCUACGUGAGGGUGUUCGAGGAAGAUGGCCGCCGUGCUGGCUGCUCCCCCGAAGACGACGGCGACGAGGUGUUUGGCCUUGGUGACAGCUGUGACGUGGGCGAAGGCGAACCCGCUCCUAGCGGCGUCCGCAGCUCGCCGAGCUUCAGCGGCUCCUCCUCUGGUGACAGCUCCUCUAGCGGUGGCCGCGAUCAGCCACCACGUCGCAGCGCCCGCUUCGAGGGUGGUAGCAGGUCAUCCCGCCGCUGUGCCCCGGUGAAGCGUGAGGCGGAGUCCGAUUGAGCUCGGGAGGGUGAUGCGGAUCCUUCCUCGCGAGCCGUUGCGGGCCGCGCCGCUUUCAUUUUGUUUUUCUCCUGUUCCUCUAUUGAGAGAGAGAGAAGUAUGGACCCCCGUGGGGGGCGUGCAAGACCAUCAUCCUUAGUUAUCAUGCUACUUUUAUCGUUCUCGUGUUGUGUCAUGGUGUUGCGGCUAUGCGCUUGCGCAUAGGAACAACUUAGCUCGGGAGGUUCACUACAGUUUCCGCUUCGCGAGGUACUUUCCUGAGGCCUCGCCAGGUAUCUUUAGGUCUGCAAAGAUCAGUCGGGAGGAUAGCUUUCGAACCUUUGUCGCGAGGGUGACCAGCUUAGGUCCGGCGUUUUGCAUCGCGAUGCCCGUGGGGCAUGGACCAGGAGGGGUGCUCCGCAGUGGACUUGAGUGAGGGAGCUUCACAAAAUCAGGCGAGAAAGGGCUCACGAGGGCGCCUGCGCAGCCCCCUCACGAGGCUUGCGAGUGAGAGAACGAGCCCGGCGAAAACCAAAGACAGAGAACAUGGGCAGGGGAUAGCAAAUAACACUAGAAGCAACUCCGAUAAAGAUUCAAACAAGGGGGAACAAGCCAACUGCAGAAAAGCAAAUGAAAAGCCACGUUCGGCACCUAGUCUAGUAUUCGACGUCUUCUCACCAGCGCGGAGCUAAGUGCUGCCACUGGGCGUGGGCAGGAGCCCCCGAGGCCCAAGGGCGGCACUCCGGAGACUCCGGGGCAUGUACAGCCCCAACUCAUUAUUACGUGAGAGUGUCACGAGCAGUGAGCUUCACAGGCACUAGGCCUUCUUCACAGGCACCGGGCCUUUCUUGGGGCGGCGAGAGCUUCACAGGCACCAGGCCUUCUUUGUAGGCAAUGGGCCCUUCUUCACCGGCACCGGGCCUUCUUUACAGGCACGGGCCCCUUCUUCACAGGCACCGGGCCUUCUUUACAGGCACGGGGCCCUUCUUCACAGGCACCGGGCCUUCUUUACAGGCACUAGGCCUUACUUCAAGGGUAGAACCUCCGGAGGUGCUGAAUGUUCCACGCAUUCGGGAUGGGCACCCCUUCCUGGGUCACCAAGUGCGCGGCGCCAGGUCUGGAAACAUGAACAACCUUGAACGGACCCUCCCACAUGGGAGAGAGCUUGUGCAGCCCUUCCCUGGAGAGCACCAGCCAGAGCACGAGGUCACCUACCUCGAGAGUCCUUGGGCGGAUGUGGCGGCAAUGGUACCGCCGCAGCGUCUGCUGGUAUCUUGCGGCUCGUAGUGCGGCCUCCCGUCGGCCUUCCUCCCCCAGGAUGAGGUCCAUCCCCCGCACGGUGUCCUACUGCGCUUCAUCAAACGCUAGGACCCGCGCGGAGCGACGCCUGACCUCGUGAGGGAGGACUGGCUCCGCUCCGUGGACAAGGAAGAAUGGGGUCUCGCCAGUCAACUUGGUGGCAGUAGUGCGGAUGGACCAUAGCAUGGACUGGAGCUCAUUGUACCAGCCCCUGCCGCAGGCCUCCAACUUCUUGAAGGUCCUGGUUUUGAGGCCCUUCAGGACCUCUGCGUAGGCGUGUUCGUCCUGGCCGUUACUCCAGGGAUGUGCCACCGAAGCGUAGCAUAUCUGUGUUCCAAGGUUAGCACAAUAUGUUUUGAAGAGAUUGCUGGUGAACUGCGAACUGUUGUCGGUGAUGAUGCGGUUAGGGACCCCAAAUCGGCUCACGAGGCCCUUGAUGAAUUUGACUGCAGAACUGGCCGAGAUGGUGCGGACGGCUUCCACCUCCGCCCACUUGGUGAACUUGUCGAUGGUGACGUACAAGUAGCGGUAGUCCCCAGACGCUCGAGGAAACGGGCCCAGGAUAUCCAGCCCCCAGACCACGAACGGCCACGAGAGUAGGAUGGUCUACAGGCUCUGAGCCAGCUGAUGAAUCUGCUUGGCAUGGAACUGGCAGGCUUCGCAAGCCUUCACCAGCUCGAUCGCAUCGUUGAGUGUUGUAGGCCAGUAAAACCCGUUGCAGAACGCCUUGCCCACGAGGGUUCGUGAUGACGAGUGGUGCCCACAAUCUCCUCCUUGAAUGUCUGCCAGUAAUUCCUUCCCCUGAUCCCUGGAGAUGCAACGCAGGGAAACAUCGUUUGGCCGCUUCUGGUAGAGCUCUCCGUCUUGGAUGCAGUAGGCCGUGGCCUGCCGGGCCACGCGUUCCGCGUCCUCCUCCUUCUCUGGUAGAGUCCCUUACAUCAGGUAGUCCUUGAAUUUCACAGUCCAGCAUCCCUCCUGAGGCUCCAGCCUGGAGCAUGUGUGCUCCCGAGGUCGGGCCACAGGCCGGGGCUCUUGAGGCAGGUGGUUGAGGGAGUUCCUUCCGAGGUUGUGUUGUGCUUGAUAGUGAUGUUGUUGCUGAGGGCUUGAAGAGUCGUUCCUCAAAAAUGCCAGGCUACUGAGGCAGACGCCUGGACGCCCUCCUGGUGAUGUCAUCAGCCUCUUGGUUGGUACCUCGGGGCACAUGCUGCAACUCCAACCCCCAAAACUGCUUUUCCAUCUUGCGUACCUCUGCAAGAUACGCCUCCAUGUGCUCAUCCUUUAGCUCAUACACCUUGUUGGAGAAGUUGACGAGGAGCUGUGAGUCUCCCUUGAUGACGAGGCGCUUCACCCCUAGUGCUGAUGCAGCCUUUAAGCCCGCUAUGAGGCCUUCGUACUCCGCUAUGUUGUUGGAGACCUUCUCGCCGUGCUGGAAACAAAGAAGUACAGCGUAAUAGAGCUUGUCCUGAGUGGGGGAUAUAAGCACUGUGCCAGCCCCCACGCCAUGUCGCGAGAAUGCUCCAUCGAAGUACAUGACCCAGCCAUCUGGUGCCUCACUUGCUAGGGAGAGUGAUCGAUCUUCGCAUGCUUCAAGCCCCGGCACCUCUGUCCAUUCCGCCACAAAAUAUGCAAGUGUCGCUCCCUUGACGAUCCUAGUUGUGCUGAAUUCCAACUGAAAUGCUUGCGGCUCAAUGUUCCAUUCGGCGACCCUUCUAGAAGAGUUGGGGCUCCUGAGUACCCUUUCCAAGGGGUAGGCCGAUACGACCUUGAUGGGGUGGCCUUGAAAGUAAUGCCUCAACUUGCGCGAGGCCACCAAUAGCGUGAGCAAGAGCUUCUGAGGCAUGGGGUAUCGUGCCCGAGCAUCUCGCAGCACUGUGCUGACGAAGUACACCGGAUGCUCGACGAGGGUGGGCAUGCUGAUGAGGGUCGUAUCCUUCGGAGAGCUAGGCACCUCCUGAUGCGUUGGGGCUUCCAGCACCUGGCUGCCCGGUGAGGCCACUUCAGCCCUGGGGGCGUCUUUCUGUUGAGGCUGGCCUUCAUCUGCCGAGGCCAUGACCUUCGUGAGGCUUUCUUGGUCUGGCGCUGCUGCGGUUGGGGUCACAUUCGACCGUGAUGCGGCCUUGGCUUGGCGCUCUUCCCGGACCGCCACCAGAGCUGCGCUGGCGGAGUAGGGCGUGGUGGCGAGGUAGAGCACCAGGGACUCCCGAGGGCGUGGCGCCACCAUCAUCGGAGGGCUGGUCAGGUACUUCUUGAGAUCUUGAAAUGCUUCGUCGGCCUCUUGUGUCCAUUCAAACGGGGCCUUCUUCUUCAUCAGCUUGAAGAAGGGCAGGGCGCGCUCCCCCAUCUUGGAGAUGAAGCGCCCUAACAUAGUCACGCGUCCGGCGAGCUUCUGCAUUUCCUUGAGGGUUUGCGGCGGACUCAUGUCUUCGAUCGCCUUGACCUUCUCUGGGUUGGCCUCGAUCCCCCUGUGGGACACGAGGAAGCCCAGAAGCUUGCCAGAGGGAACACCAAACACGCACUUCUCCGGGUUGAGCCGCAGGUCCACUUCAUGUAGGCUCGCGAAGGUUUCUUCCAAGUCGUGUAUCAAGGUCUUCGCUUCUCGAGACUUCACCACAAUGUCAUCGACGUAGGCCUCGGUGUUUCUCCCGAGCUAUCAGCCCAGGGCAAUGUGCAUUAGUCGCUGAAAAGUUGUGCUCGCGUUGCGCAACCCGAACGGCAUGCAGGUGUAGCAUUACACCCCGCACGGGGUCAGGAAGGCAGUCUUCUCCACGUCUUCUACCGCCAUCUUGAUUUGAUGAUAGCCUGAAAAGGCAUCCAGGAAGCACAGCAGGUCGCACUCAGUGGUGGAAUCGACAAUUUGGUCGAUGCGAGGGAGUGGGAAUGGAUCUUGAGGGCGGGCCUUAUUGAGGUUGGUGAAAUCGACGCACAUGUGCUCCUUUCCUCCCUUCUUUGGCACAACCAUAGGGUUUGCCAGCCAUUCGGGGUAGCGGACCUCGCGAAUGACACCUAUAGCUUCCAGCUGCGGGUUUCUUGGAUGAUGAAGGCUUGCUCCUCGGUGGACUGUCGCCUUGCUUUCUGCUUUGCGGGGCGUACAUUAGGGCACACGUUUAGGUGAUGCUCAAUCAUCUGUCUUGGGACUCCGGCUAGCUGCUUGGGUUCCCACGCGAACACCUCCUUGUUUGUGCGAAGGAACUUCACCAGUGCCUCCUCCUGGCUGGGGUCGAGAUUGGCACCUAUGGUGAAGGUGGCACCGGAGGACCCAUCCUCAUCAACUGGUACCUGCUUGGUUUCUGCCUUGUCUUGGGUGAACAAAUGCUUCUUCUUGGUUUGUGCAGCACCCAUGGCCUUGGAGGCGUCAGUGCUGGCGAGCUGUGCUGCCACAACUGUCUUGAGGGCGAGCUUGAGCGCCUGUAGAGCAUCUUUGGCAUCCCCAGCCACAGUGAGGGUGCCGCUGCUCCCGGGCAUAUUCAUGAGCUUGCAGGCCGGAUGGGUCGCUGCCAUAAAUUGGGCCAAGGCUAGGUAGCCGAGGAUGGCGUUGUACGGGAGGCCGAUGCGGGUGAUGUCGAAGUUGACCAGCUCCGUGCGGAAGUUGUCGUGCGUGUCGAAGGUUACCGGAAGGCGGAUCUGCCCGAGGGAGCCGGAGGAACCACCCCCGACGCCUAAGAAGGCCCUGCUGGGUUGUAGCCGUUCCAGUGGUACAUAGAGGAGGCUGAAGGCCUCCACUGAGAGCAUGUUGAGGCUGGCACCGCCGUCGAUGAGGGUCUUGGUGACGGCCACCUGGCAGAUGGUGGGCGUGCAAAGCAUUGGGAGCGCACCCAAGCAAGUAGUGUUGUCGGGGUGAUCGUCGGAGCUGAAGGUCAGGUCAGCCUCGGGCGCCGCCCGACCCGGGGGAGCUCCAUGGCGCGUGAGGGCGGCGCCAAUCUGGCGGACAAACAGCUUGACGUGGCGGCCCGAGGGUGGCGCCUGCGAGCCGCCCAAGAGAGCUGCGAUGACCGGGGGCGCCGGCAGUGUAUUGGGUGAGGAAGAGGUUGUGCAGCUCCUCCUAGGAGGCCACAGAAGCCGCUGGCAGGUGAAGCAGCCACAUGCGCGGGAUGUCGGGGAGGGUCGUGGGGAGCCAGUUGGCCAUAACCUUGUUGUCGCCCCCGACCUUGAGGACGGCCCGCCGGCAGGAAAACCAGCGGGUCUGCCGCAUCAUUGUAGAGCGGCGGCAUCUCUGGCUUCAACUUGUGCGGCCACUGCACAUGUCGCAAGGCGGGGCCAAGGCUCAGAGCCCCCUGGCCCCAGCGCUGGCGUCGACCACCGGAGCGGGCGGCGCGUUGUCCGCCAUGAGGGCGAAGCGCGGUGUUGAUGGAGAGCGGGUCGGCAGAAGAGGAAGCUCCGGCGCACCCCUACCUGGCGCGCCAAAUGUCGGAUAUCGGGUUCCGGCAAAACCCUUAAGGUUCGAACUCUAGGGUCCGCACGAAGAUCUUCUCCCUACCGAUCCACGCCCCAAAGCUUCACCGCGAAUCUAAGCUACAUGAUGAACAACACAAGGUUUAUACUAGUUCAGGCCACCGUUGUGGUGUUAUACCCUACUCUAGUGUGUGGUGGUGGAUUGCCUCUGGGGCUGAUGAUGAAAAGUACAGAGGAAGAACAGCCUCGCGAGGGGAGUUCUUGAGCUGGUGGGUUUGGAGAGGAAUGGAUCCGUCUCUGUUGGCUAUCGGUCUGAUCUCUUGAUCCCCUCUCUACUGUGGUGGCUAUCUCUAUUUAUAGAGGCCUUGGUCCUCAUCCCAAAUAUUGAGCAGGAAGAGAGCCAACAACGGUCAUUUUGAAGGGGGGCAGCUAGUACAAGUUAUCCUGACUAAAGUUGGUCUUCGACUGCCAAAGGCACUGGCGAUGACGCCAUCUUGGGCUCCAUGGUGACCUCUGUCCUGCCGCUCUACUGGUCUUGGUCCCGUUGCACCGAUAUGGCAACCUUUGCUUGAUGCCUCGGUACUCCAUGCCUACGCUUGCCCCCUUUGCACCAAAGAGGAAGCGAGGACACUGCGCUGGCUGGCGCCUGCCUGGUCUCGGUCGUCAUGGCUUGCGUCAUGAGCACCUUGCGAGGUACUCCCUUCCUUGAUCUUUCCGCCUCCUCACGAGCCUGCCUGGCGAGGCCGCCCCUAAGGAGGCCUUGCAUUGUCCUCCCCGCGAGGCUUGGUCCCUCGCGAGGGUCUUGAGCUUGGGCUGGUGUAGACGGGCCGUACUGGGCCACUGCUUGAGCCACGCCGCAGGCCGCAGGCAUGCAAGUCUGGGGACCCCAUUCCCAGAACGCCAACAAUUGCAAACAUGUUUAUUCAUAAUAGGCUGAAUCAGGAACGAUGAACUCAUCAUAUUUACAAAAACAAGAGAGGUCGAGUUCAUACCAGCUUCUCUCAUCUCAAUCAGUCCAUCAUAUAUCAUCAUUAUUGCCUUUCACUUGCAUGACCGAACGGUGUGUAUAAUAAUAAUAGUGCAUGUGCUUUGGACUAAGCUGGAAUCUGCAAGCAUUCAAUUCAAGAGAGAAGACAAGGUAAUAUGGGCUCUUGGUUAAAUCAACAGGCAUGCAUAUUAGAGCCACUAAGCAUUUUCAUUAUGGUCUUCUCCUCUCGACCCCCAAAGGAAAGAAAAAGAAAUAAAACUAUUUACACGGGAAAGCUCCCAACAAGCAAAACAAGAAUGAGAAAUCUUUUUGGGUUUUCUUUUUAAUUACUACUACAGGCAUGGAAAUUAAACUAAAUAAUUUUUUUGGUUUUUUUAAGGUUUAUUAAACACACAAAAAGAAAGCUAGAAAAAGAAUUUAAACUAGCAUGGAUAAUACAAUGAAAAAGUAUGAGCACCGACAACUAGAAUGAAUGUGUGAACAUGAAUGUAACGUCGGUGAGAAAUACGUACUCCCCCAAGCUUAGGCUUUUGGCCUAAGUUGGUCUAAUGCCAAAGAUAGCCUAGCUGAUAUCCGAAGUUAUAACUGGGGUCAUACUGAGAAGCAGCAGCCAAUGCCUCCUGAGCUGCGGCAUGUUGGUGAGCUGCCUCCGCUCUCCUCUCGUGUUCGGUUGCCUCCUCCAUGGUUACAACAUAUCUUAUUUUUGCCUGGUAAUCAAAAAGGGAAGGAGCAGGGAGAGUAAUAUGGACAACGCGACGUCUGUCGAAGAUUAGUCGAUACUGGAGGAAUUGUUCAUUCCUCACAAGAAAACGAUGACUUACCAUAGCUUCAUAAUCUAAAUAAGCAGGAGGUAACUCCCUAUCAUCCUCACGUGGAGGUAUACCAAGAUAAUUAUCAAUGCGGGUUGCAUAAAUCCCUCCAAACAAAUCUCCAGAUAUACCAUUAUUAUGCAACCUACAUGCAACUAUUGCCCCCAAGUUGUAAUCUUUAUUACCUAAUACAACACUCUUGAGGACACAAAGGUCAGGGACACACAUGUGACAUGCUUCAUCUUUACCAUUAAUGCAUGUACCAAUGAAGAGAGAAAAAUAAUGUAUAGCAGGAAAAUGAAUGCUCCCUAUGGUAGCUUGUGCUAUGUCCCUAGAUUAUCCCACAGUGAUACUAGCUAGAAAAUCUUUAUAUUCAGAUUUACGGGGUUCAAUAACAUUACCCCACUGUGGGAGUCUGCAAGCAGUGGUGAAAUCUUCUAAGUCCAUGGUAUAAGAUUGAUCAUAAAUAUCAAACAGGACAUUCUAAGAAUUACGUGAAGAUGUAAAUUUAAACCUUCUCACGAAUGAAUCAGUUAAAUCACAGUACUGAGGACACUUAUCUUGCAUGAAGUCCUCAAGAUCGGCAUUACGCACAUAUGCGUCAAAUUCAUCCUUGAUGCCUGCAUCGACCAUAAACUCUUCUGACAGCCAUUCAUAAGGCCGCAGAUCAGCUUCCCUUGGUAGUUCAUCAUCUUGCUCACGCAUAGCACGUCUGGGUCCUCUCUUUGUUGAGGAACCACUUUGGUACAUUUUCCUGGACAUAUUUCUUCCUCUGAAAAAUUUCUGAAAUUUUUAGUAACUUCAAAAUAAAAGUGAAUCAAACUCAACAAAAUUGAUAGCAACUACUCCCACAAGUGCCUAGAGCCUACAUCAUGCAUUAGAAUUACUUGGGACCUCAUAAAUUUUACAUGCAAGCUCAAGAACAGGGUCACCUAUGCGGCAAAAAUUUGCAAUGAAUAAAGCACUAGAUCAAAAACUAAUUGGACAAUUGGAGGAGUCACAUACCAAGCAACAAUCUCCCAAAGCAGUUUUGUGAAAGGAGCUUUGAGCAAGGAGAUCGAAAAUCGCAGCAAAAUGAGCUAGAACUCUUGCUUGAGCUGGAUGGGGAUUUUUUUGGGGGGAGGAAGAUGGAGUGUGUGGGUGCAGGAAUAAGUGGAGAGGGCCACCAUGGGCCCACGACGCAGGGGGCGCGCCCAGUAAGAGUGGGCGCGCCUUGGACCCUCGUGGCCAGGUGCUUGCCCUCCUGCUGUGUUCUCAGUGCCUAAAAUCCUCAAAUAUUCCAUAAAAAUCAUACUAAAUUUGCAGGGAAUUUGGAGAACUUUUAUUUUGGGAUAUUUUUUAUUGCAUGGAUAAUUCAGAAAACAGACAGAUAAUACUAUUUUUGCUUUAUUUAUUCUAAAUAACAGAAAGUAAAAAGAGGGUACAGAAGGUUGUGCCUUCUAGUUUCAUCCAUCUCAUGAUCAUCAAAAGGAAUCCACUAACAAGGUUGAUCAAGUCUUGUUAACAAACUCAUUCCAAAUAACAUGGAACCGGAGAAAUUUUGAAUAACACUAGGUUACCUCAAUGGGGAUAUGAACAUCCCCAAUAAUAAGAAUAUCAUACUUUUUCUUGAUAGUGGGAAGAGGGAAUUCAAAACCUCCAUAAUGAUAGUUGGAACUUUUCCAAUAGAAUUGAUGUUGUGAACUUGAGGUUGUUUCCUCGGAAAGUGUACCGUAUGCUCAUUGCCAUUAACAUGAAAAGUGACAUUGCCUUUGUUGCAAUCAAUAACAGCCCCUGCAGUAUUCAAAAAGGGUCUACCAAGGAUAAUCGACAUACUAUCGUCCUCAGGAAUAUCAAGAAUAACAAAGUCCGUUAAGAUAGUGACAUUUUCAACUACGACAGGCACAUCCUCACAAAUACCAACAGGUAUAGCAGUUGAUUUAUCAGUCAUUUGCAAAGAUAUUUCAGUAGGUGUCAACUUAUUCAAUUCAAGUCUACGAUAUAAAGAGAGAGGCAUAACACUAACACCGGCUCCAAGAUCACAUAAAGCAGUUUUAACAUAGUUUCUUUUAAUGGAGCAUGGUAUAGUUGGUACUCCUGGAUCUCCAAGUUUCUUUGGUAAUCCACCCUUAAAAGUGUAAUUAGCAAGCAUGGUGGAAAUUUCAGCCUCCGGUAUCUUUCUUUUAUUUGUAAUGAUAUCCUUCAUAUAUUUAGCAUAAGGAUUUACUUUAAGCAUAUCGGUUGCGCGCAUACGUAAGAAGAUAGGUCUAAUCAUUUCAGCAAAGCACUCAAAAUACUCAUCAUCCUUUUUCUUGGAUGGUUUAGGAGGAAAAGGUGGGUUUCUGAACCCAUGGUUCUCUUUCUUUACUGUGCUUCCUAGCAACAAAGUCCCUCUUAUCAUAACGUUGAUUCUUUGAUUGUGGGUUAUCAAGAUCAACAGCAGGUUUAGUCUCUACUUCAUCAUUAUUGCUAGGUUGAGCAUCAACAUGAACAUUAUCAUUAACAUUAUCACUAGGUUCAUGUUCAUCACCUGAUUGUGUUUCAGCAUCAGAAAUAGAAAUAUCAUUGGGAUUCUCAGGUGUGUCUACAACAGGUUCACUAGAAGCAUGCAAAUUCCUAUCAUUUUUCUUUUUCUUCUUUUUAGAAGGACUAGGUGCAUCUAUAUUAUUUCUCUGAGAAUCUUGCUCGAUUCUCUUAGGGUGGCCUUCAGGAUACAAAGGUUCCUGAGUCAUUCUACCAGUUCUAGUAGCCACUCUAACAGCAAAAUCAUGUUUAUUAUUUAAUUCAUCGAGCAAAUCACUUUGAGCUUGAAGUACUUGUUCUGCCCGAGUGGUAACCAUAGAAGCAUAUUUGCUAAUGAGUUUAAGUUCACCUUUAACUCUAGCCAUAUAAUCACUCAAGCGUCCUACCAUGAAAGCAUUACUCUUUAACUCUCUACCAACAUAAGCUUUAAAACUUUCUUGCCUAGCCAUAAAGAUAUCAAAUUCAUCUAAGCAUUGGCUAGGAAAUUUAGUAGAGGGGAUUUCAACUUUAUCAUAUCUAUAGAGAGAAUUUACCUCUACUACCUGUGUUGGUUUAUCAAGACAAUGUGUUUCUUCAACAGGCGGUAUAUUAAGACCAUGUAUUUCUUCAAUAGGAGGUAAAUUCUUAACAUAUUCAGCUUUAAUACCUUUUUCUUUCAUUGAUUUCUUUGCCUCUUGCAUAUCUUCAGGACUGAGAAAUAGGACACCCCUCUUCUUCGGAGUUGGUUUAGGAAUAGGCUCAGGAGUUGGCUCAAUUGGCUCAGGAAUUGGCUCAGAAAGAGUCCAAUUAGUUUCAUUCGUCAACAUAUUAUUCAAUAACAAUUCAGCUUGGUCGACUGUUCUUUCCCUGAAAACACAACCAGCACAACUAUCCAAGUGGUCCUUGGAAGCAUCAGUUAGUCAAUUAUAAAAGAUAUCAAGUAUUUCAUUUUUCUUAAGAGGAUGAUCAGGCAAAGCAUUAAAUAAUCUUAAGAUCAUAUCUAUCAUUGCAAGCAAGAAUAGCUCUAGCAGCUUCUUCAUCCAUAACAUAACCCUCAGGAACAACAGGCAAUUCAUACUUAGGGGGAGAACCUUCAUCAUCACUAUCAUCAAUAAUUUCAUCUUCAAUAAUAUCAUUCUCUCUAACCCUAGCAAGUUGCUCAUCUAGAAAUUCACCUAAUGGCAAAGUAGUAUCAAGCAGAGAAGUAGUUUCAUCAUAAGUACCAUGCAUAGCAGAAGUGGCAUCAUCAAUAACAUGCGACAUAUCAGAAUUCAUAGCAAUAGCAGGUUUAGGUGUCGCAAGCUUACUCAAAACAGAAGGAGAAUCUAGUGCAGAGCUAGAUGGAAGUUCCUUACCUCCCCUCGUAGUUGAGGGGAAAAUCUUAGUUCUUUCGUCUUUCAAGUUAUUCAUAGUGAUCAGCAAAUAUAAAUCCCAAGUGACUCAAAGAAUAGAGCUAUGCUCCUCGGCAAUGGCGCGAGAAAAUAGUCUUUAUAACCCACAAGUAUAGGAAAUCGCAACAGUUUUCGAGGGUAGAGUAUUCAACCCAAAUUUAUUGAUUCGACACAAGGGGAGCCAAAGAAUAUUCUCAAGUAUUAGCAGUUGAACUGUCAAUUCGACCACACCUGGAUAACUUAGUAUCUGCAGCAAAGUAUUUAUUAGCAAAGUAGUAUGAUAGUAAUGGUAACAGUGGCAAAAGUAACGAUAGCAGUUUUGUAGUAAUUGUAACAGUAGCAAAGGAAAAGUAAAUAAGCAAAGCACAAUAUGUGAAAAGCUCAUAGGCAUUGGAUAAGUGAUGGAUAGUUAUGUCGGAUGUGAUUCCUCAUGUAAUAGUUAUAACAUAGGGUGACACAGAACUAGCUCCAAUUCAUCAAUGUAAUGUAGGCAUGUAUUCCGAAUAUAGUCAUACAUGCUUAUGGAAAAGAACUUGCAUGAAAUCUUUUGUCCUACCCUCCCGUGGCAGCGGGGUCCUAAUUGAAACUAAGGGAUAUUAAGGCCUCCUUUUAAUAGAGAACCGGACCAAAGCAUUAGCACUUAGUGAAUACAUGAACUCCUCAAACUACGGUCAUCACCGAGAAGUAUCCCGGUUAUUGUCACUUCGGGGUUGUCGGAUCAUAACACAUAAUAGGUAGCUAUAGACUUGCAAGAUAGGAUCAAGAACUCACAUAUAUUCAUAAAACAUAAUAGGUUCAGAUCUGAAAUCAUGCCACUCGGGCCCUAGUGACAAGCAUUAAGCAUAGCAAAGUCAUAGCAACAUCAAUCUCAGAACAUAGUGGAUACUAGGGAUCAAACCCUAACAAAACUAACUUGAUUACAUGGUAAAUCUCAUCCAACCCAUCACCGUCCAUCAAGCCUACGAUGGAAUUACUCACACAUGGCGGUGAGCAUCAUGAAAUUGGUGAUGGAGGAUGGUUGAUGAUGACGACGGCGACGAAUCCCCCUCUCCGGAGCCCCGAACGGACUCCAGAUCAGCCCUCCUGAGAGAGAUUAGGGCUUGGCGGCGGCUCCAUAUCGCAAAACGUGAUGAAACUUCCUCUCUGAUUUUUUUUUCUCCGCGAAACGGAAUAUAUAGAGUUGCAGUUGAGUUCGGUGGAGCAUCCGGGGGGCGCGCCCAGGGGAAGGGGCGCGCCCCCCACCCUCGUGGACAGGGUGUGGGGCCCCUAGCCUUGAUUCUUUUGCCAGUAUAUUUUUUAUUUUCCAAAUGUUAUCUCCGUGGAUUUUCAGGUCAUUCCGAGAACUUUUAUUUUCUGCACAAUAAAUAACACCAUGGCAGUUCUGUUGAAAACAGCAUCAGUGCAGGUUAGUUUCAUUCAAAUCAUGCAAGUUAGAGUCCAAAACAAGGGCAAAAGUGUUUCGAAAAGUAGAUACGUUGGAGACGUAUCAGCGGUCGCGGGCGGCGGAGCCUUUGAGGUGGACGGGUGAUUUCCAGCUCCGGGCUUCUUAGGCGCCAUAGUCAAUGGCAUCGCCGAUGAUGAAAAUGGCGAUGAGGAUCACGUGCUGCUCAAGCUUUCAGGUUUGUGCAAGUGAUCCCCCUACUUGGCGCGCCAAAGAUGUUGUGGGGAACCACGACCACCUAUGGGGCAACGAACCCCUUUCUGGUUCGGCGGGGGGAUGGCACGUUGCACAAAGAGCAGAGGAGUGUGAGACAUCACGACAGAGAUCACACGGGUGGUUUUUACCCUAGUUUGGGCCGCCGCGAGGCGUAAAACCCUACUCAUGCUUUGGUGGAUUGAUGGUGGAUGGUGGUGGAAAAAUUGUAGCGUUCUUGCCCGGCAGGGUUGCCUUGGGACAAGAAUGGCUACGCGUGUACGAGUGUACAAGGGUCCGAAAUCUUUUGUAUGGUUGCCAUGGGCCUCCUUUUAUAGAUAAAGGGGUCACCACAGUGGCAAAUCAGUCAUUACACAUUGAUUAGAUAGGAAAAUGUGAUAUCCUACCUAACUCUGCAGGCUGACAGAGCGCAUUAAAUGUGGCACUCAAUGUCACAUCAUAGCUUGCCCGAUAGGCUCUUCCGGGCCGUUUCGCCAGCUUGGCGCCUACUUGCUUGACACGUCGCAGGACGGGUGUCGCUUGUAGGUAUUUUCUAUAGGAGGUAGCUGCAAUGUGGCAUUUAGCAGCCACUUAGUCACCUUGGAGCUUGACACCAAACUAAUCGACGACGUGCGUCAUGGAGAUGUGGUGCAGUGAAGUGGUUUUGUCUUUGCGGUCCCGGUAGGCCUGUCGGGAUGAUUCGGCAGAGGCUUGCUUCCAGGGAAAACCUUGUCUCCGCCAGGCUCGCCUGCCCGGCAGGGGAGGUUUUUCCCUUAGCGGUAUCUUGCACCUCUGGCUAGUCUUAUCCUUCUUGAUCUCUUGCUUGGAUCCUUCAAGGGGAUCGACCCAUCUUGCUUGAGUUGAUCAUGGUGUUGUAAACUUGUCCUCGUGCAUGUGCACAGUCCGGGCAACGGACCCAGGGUUUGUUGCACCGACAGAAGCCCCCGGGCCUGGCGUGAUCGUGCCGCUGGGCGUCGACGGGGUAGUCCCUAAUAAGUGCACAUGCAAGAGUGUUGAAGUGGCUUCGUCCCUUGAGAUUUUCCUUGCUUGUUCAUUAUCUUCAGGCUGGGCCAGUUUCCGGUUUUUCCGCACAUCGCGUAACACCAAUUGUGGUGGGACCAUUCUUGUAAUGGCUCAUGAAUGACUUUAACGCAGGGGCGGGUAACCGCCAAUUCACUUCCCACCAUGCCCUUAUCCUUUGCCACGUAUGUCGCAUGCAUCAAGUGGGGUAGGUAACGGAGGCGCGUGGUGCGGAGGGGCAUCAAGGUAGGGGCCCUGGUCUUCUAGGAUUGGUGGAGGAGGACGGUGGUUACUCAUCGGGAAAUCAGCCACCCAGCCCCCAGCUCACCUAUAAAAGGAGGAGCGUGGGAGGAGUGGAGGCAUUCAUCCAUAUCCCUCUCCUCCUCCAUUUUGCUUUGUCUUGAGUAUGCUGGAAGGGAGAGCCCGGGGCCCGAGCUGAUGACGCCAAGCAAUGGUGCUGGCGCUCAGGGAGUGGGUCUGGUCCAAGUCCAAGGCGAAGGGCUUGGGAUCGUUAGAAAUCCCACUACUACCCCUUUCCUUGGAACCGGGGUUGAUGUUGACGAGGAGGGUGCCUUCCUGCCUGCCAAGGUGAGGUGCGGCGUGCCUCGGGCGUCCUGGUUACUCCCGCUGCUAAUCGUCUCUCCGGGUAAGGCGAUGGCUUGUGGGUCCGGCGUCUUCCUGAAGUGGUGGUGAAGGAGGGAAAGCGAGGGACGGUGAGGAAGGCGGGUGAUGGGACGUCAGGUCGGAGUACGAUGGCGUCGACGCCUUCGUAGCGUAUUGCCGACCGCCCCAUCUUCCUGCUUCCCCCUUCCCUCCCCGGCACCAUCAUCACCAGUCUCUUUGGGUGAUAGCCAGGGAGGGAUGUUCCCUUGGUGCCUUCAUCCCCCUCUAGUGGUCUUCCAGCCGACCGUUGGUGGUUGAUUCCUCCAUCGCUCGAGCUGGAGCUCCUUGCUGGUCCUGGAGGUGAUAAUCAGGCGCACCGCCGAGCUGCCCUCCAGGUCCCUCCUUCGCAGACUCGCCACUCCCGACCUUGCCAGGCUGUGCCUGGCAGGCCGUGACGAGAUCGGGGUGGGCUCCUGCUUGGAGCGCUCCCCUAGUCCUCUUCCAUUCCCACCGAAGUACCUGAUGGAGGGAAAACGUAAAGAGCAGUCUUCAGGGGACACUUAUAUUUUUUCAAUCUUAAAUCUGUAGGCACUUGCCAAAUUUUAGUUCAAAUAAUGUAAUCCCUUGAAUCCAUGUUUGUGUACUGUAAGUUUUGUACUUGUUUGAAGCAUAUAAAUGAAAAACAUAAACCUUGUCUGGGACUCGUGCAUGUAUAUGGCCAUGCAGAGGUGGAAUGCCUCUAUAUUUAAAUAAACGAGUUUUCCCAGUAGGCUAUCCUGUCGGUACCCUCUAUUUGGCUGUCGGGGAGCUAUGCUUGUCGGGCACAAAUUGUAAUGAAAGGACUUCAAACAAUGGACAUCCAGCCCUCAGACUUGCCGAGAGUGAAAAAAAUCAUUUUCCAAGUUGCUCAAAGCAAAGAUAUAAUACCAUAAAUGGAUCGGGUCAUUCAUAAGAAUCCAACGAGCUCAAGAACGUCAAAUUCUGAGUUUGUAUAAAGAAAUGGUGGACAAUGUCCUGAAGAGGUCCAGAGAAAAUGACGAUGUAUCAUACGACCAUAGCUCGUCGUACGCGCGGUCGUUUGGAAGGAAAUCGAUCUCAAAAGUUUCCUCUCCAGAUUUGAUUCUUCACCGAUUUCGUCCGUAUUUGUUCCUACGACUUCCUUGGCCUUCAAGGGAUGUUUUGGGAGAGGAUGAGGCUCACGUAGAGCCCUUGGAUCAAAGGGGAGAUGCUAUAUGAAUGGAGGAGGCUACCGGAGAGCCAUUAUAUAAACACCUUCAACCCUAGCCAACGUGUCCAUCUCAUAUCAUUUGUCAUUCAUCAUUCAUCUCCAUGUCCAGCCACUGUCCACAUCAAGAAAACCAUAGUUGCAACCAAGAGGGAGACCAAAGGGAGCCAUCGCCACCGCGCCAUCACCACCAUCAUCUACUGUCGCUUCAUCAUUGUCACCAUCACCACCCCUUCUUCCUGCUCCAUAACAGUCUCUGUGAUGGGUUGUAACAACUCUUGAACCCCUUAUAUGUGAUGUUAUUUGAGUAAUUAUUAGCUAUGGGUCGGUCGAUUAGUAAGUGGUUGUUUGAUAUGUUUUGUCUAUUUAUGUGUAUUUAUUUGUGUUGCUUACUUACCUCUGCGGUAAUUUAUUGAUUGGAGACGUUCAAUCCAUUGGCGUAGUUGGAGAUGUUCAAAUAUUAGGCCACACAUGAAGUUGAUAGAAUGUUGUGAAAACCGGUAGACCUGUGAUGUGACAAGUGCAGACAUCUUAAGGGGAACAAAAUUAUUCUAGGAGCAUGAUUGUCCAUAGAACUUAUUGCCUUCGUCCGGUCCUCAUGACCUUAAUAUCUUUGUGUUUCCCUCCACAGGUAUGGGACAAGAAGUAGGACGAAUGAGUUACCUCAAUACAGCCCAUCUUGAGGGAUAAUAUUAUGCAAGGGAUCGCCCACCAUCAGUACAUUGACGUAUCCUAUAAUGCAGGUACUGACUUAGCCACCACAUGGCAUAGUCAUAAAUCUUAACACCAUUUUGUGCCCGUACCGAAUUAGACCAUACCUAGAUGCCAACAAUCUCAUCUAAAACAUCACAUAGUUCUCUUAGUUUAUUUUCCUUCGUAUAUAUUAUUUAUGUUAUGUUCUCUCUAGUACUUAGUUCUCCCUUUUACCGUUCCCUAGCAACCUACUCGAGUGAACUAUUUCCAAACUACGGUUUGGGUGUGAGCGUAGUUGUGUUAAGUGGCAAAGGGGAUUGUGGUGCCAUCCUAUUCGCUCCCUAUGGGAUCGAGAAACCUUACUUAUCAUGAAAUUUCUACAUAGCCAUGUGAACUUGCAGGCCAUCAAAAACCUAAUUUUUAUUGGUCUAGGUGAAAGCUUACUUCAUAAGGUCUGGUCUGCAAAAAGUUUCACUCAAUUUGGACCUACUCAUAAAACUUAUAAGGGUUAAAGUUCCAGGGGGUUUCUGUAAAACUACCAAGUGUUUUUAAUUUAAAUCACAAAAUAUUGUGGAUAAGGCUAAGACACGUGGAUAGAUCCUACUGGUCUAUACCGAUUCGGUUAUGUGAGUGCGCAUGGGGUCAUGCGCUCGGUUGUGAUCAGGUACGUGGGCAAGCGACGUGGGCGGCAGUUAAUGGACAAAGAUGAAGUUAACAGGUGGGGUCAACUUGUCAGUGAGAGAGAGAGGGCGUGCAGCUGGCUAGCUAUAUCGUUGUGUUAGAUGAGACUCUAGGUUUAGGUUGUUCUUUCUUUUUGGUUCCCUUUAUAAAUUCAAAACUAUUUAGAAAUGGAAUUUUCUUCCAAAAGUUAACUAGCCUAAAUUCCAAAUGGAUACUCCUGAUGUGGUGAUCAUUUUAUUUGCCCCCUUUGGCCAAAUAACUUCUACCACCUUACAUUUUUCUUUUUCUAUUUUCAGUUCCUUUUUGAACUUCAAUCUGGUAUGAAACCAAAUAUACUCUAAAUCUAACUUGGAAUAUUAAUAGAAAGUCAAGUAUUUUAUUUGGACUUAUGGUAAUUAUUUUUCUUGCCAAAUAAUGCAAGACCCUUUUAAAUAAUUUUCCCUUUUGAUUUUUGAAUUCAAUCCAACAUAAAUUCAUUUCUACUAUUUGGGAAAUUUAUCAGGGUUAUGAGUAUCAUUUUGAACUUAUUAAGAAUACCUUUAUGCCCAAAUAAAUAUUUCAAUUUGUCACCCUAUUUUAGGAUUCAAAAUUAUUCCCUAAAACCUUUUAGGGUUCACUUUGUUUUACCAAUUUCAAUCUCGGGUUCAAAUGUUGGCAUAGGGCCUUUGGCCCUCUAAGUUAAUCAAUUAAAUCAAUCACAAGCAAAUCCUAGGGGAUGUUAGAUAAUUAGAGAGCAAGCAAAGUUUUUUCUACAAAAAUAUCAAUUCUCUGUGAAAUUUUAAACAUACCAGAUUUAGGGAAAAUCUGGGAUGCGACAAAGACGCAGUUUUAUUCUUGUCAUUGACUACACAAUAAAUAUCCCAGAACUGGGUGCCUAGAGGUGAGUUUACAAACCAAAUAUCUUCAUGAAACAACACUAUUUGCCAUUACCUAAAAACCACUUAUAUCCAAAUGUAACAGCUUUCAUAGCCCACAUAACCCCUUUCCAAAAUUGAGAAGGAUGUGGAUCAUGGCAGCAAAUAGUAUUAAGGUUCUUAGUAUUAUACUUAGCAUCUAUAACUCUACUCCAUAGAGUCCCUUCUCCUAAGAUAUAUGUUUUAACCCAGGAGACGGUAAGGCAAAUAUUCAUAUCAUGUAUAUUAUGAACUUCCAUCCACCAUAUUCCCUUUUAAUGCAUAUGGAGGGCCAAUUGGCAAGGUGCAUCUUUUUUCCACCUUUACUGUCACUUCAGAAAUAAUUAUAAAACCAUGAAUUAACCAAAGGCACAUACCAUUUCAGGAACUUAUAGGAAGAUAACAUGUAAAUAGAAAUACUACACAGAUAAAUCCUAACAAAGGUGACUCUCCCUAAUAAGGACUAGGGGCUUACCCUCCAUCUAGCCAGCAUGGACAACAUGGCAUCAACUAGAGAUUGGAGGUCCUCUCUCUUGAUCUUAUCAAAUUGCAAAGGAACUCUAAGUACUUAAUAGGCAAGCCCCCUUGACUAAAUUAAAAAUAUCCAAGAAAGGUUUAUCCUCUCCAGGUUCUAAAUUUAUAGGCACCAAUUCACUUUUGUGAUAAUUAAUAGACAUCCCUGAAACCAACUCAAAGCAAGUCAAGAUGCACUUAAGAUUUAAAGCUACUGGACGGUCAUUAUCUAUGAACAACAAAGUAUCAUUUGCAUAAUGCAGACACACUACACCACCAGGGCAAAAAUUAGGGAAGAUCCCUCUAACUAGCCCAACUCGUCAUCCUUUCACUAAUAUCCUAGCAAACACAUCCACCACCAAAUUUAAAAUUAAUGGGGAUAAAGGGUCUCCCUGUCUCAAAUCCCUACUAGUGAUGAAGAAGUAAGUUUACUCACCAUUAAUCUUCACAUCCACUGAUCCUGAUGGGCGAGUCUCCUAAUCCAACCAAUCCAUUUAGCACCAAAACCCCUAAGUUCAAGAACCCCAUACAAAAAAUAUAUCUAAACUAACCCUGUCAUAAGCCUUUUCAUAAUCAAUCUUAAAUACAAGGCCUUUCUAGCCAAAAGAGUGUACCGAGUGAGCAACCUCAUGGGUAGUCACCACAAUCUCCAAAAUAAACCUACCUCUAACAAAAGCAGAUUGAUGCUCAGAGAUUAGUCUGUCAAUAAUCAGAGCUAGUCUAUUGGUAGACUUUAGUAAAGAUCUUAAAACAACAAUUGAAGAGAUUUAUAUGCCUAAAUUUCUUUAUGUUUCUCGCAUCGACUUUUUUAGGAAUAAGAGUGAUGGAAAAUCAAGUCUAAAGAUGUCUUGGUUUAGAUCAAACCAGACUUCAAAUGACUAUCAAAUAUACUUUAAUAAUGUCAUAGAACACUUGGUAAAAUAUAUAAGGCAAUCCAUCGGGCCUAGGGACACCAUCACAAUAGGAGUCAAAACAGCUUCCUAAUCUCCUCGUUAAACCUAGUAUUUUCUCUAUAGAAAUUUUCUCGUCCUCUCUAAAGAAAUCACUCUUAAGAGAGAUAUCAGGUCUACGUUCAUAUCUAAAUAACUCCUUAUUAGAGCCCUCGGGUCCCCCAGGUCCAUCUAGAACACUAUUUUUUUUUGAAAGAAAGGGGUCCCCCCUGCCCCAUUAUAUUGAAGCAGCAAAGAAAACCAGAUUCGGAAUACAAGCUUAACAGCUGGAUCCCCACACAGCCCACACCAGGCAACACCAUACAGACUGGAAACAAAACUAACUAGAAGGUGUAAACAGCCUCACAAACCAGCAAUCAUUUUAGCCUACAUGUAGUUCUUUUAUUACAAAACCCGAAGGCGAGGGCCAAAAGUGAAAGCUAAUUGUCUACUGACGACGACCGGAGAUCAGGUCCAGGCGAUACGCAGGAGCUCCCCCUGGUGUUUGUCGAGUAACAGAAUACAUGUUCACAGCAGCUCCGCUUGGGUGUCAUAGCAGAGUACCCCCCAGUGCAGAAGCACAUUUUUCAACUUGACAAGGACGCAAUUCAAGCCUCUCCAUGAGCGGCCCUGAAAACAGAAAUCAUUCCUUAGCCUCCAAAUGCUCCACAAGGAUGCAGCCAUGACCAGAUUGAGCAUAGGUUUACAUUUGUAAGAACACCACACAACACAUAUGUCUUCCCAACAAGUAAAAGGUUGCACAUUAAAAAGCUCACAGACCAUAGAACAAACACAUUUGGCCACAACACAAUCAAAAAAUAGAUGUUGAGUGGACUCAUUUUCUCUACAAAACAGGCAGGAGAGGUCUUCCACCUGUCUACUUUUGUUCAAAUUAUCUCUGGUCAGAAAUUUAUUGUACACACAAAGCCACAUGAAAACAUGAAUAUUUUGAGGACACAAAACUUUCCAAAGAGAUUUUCCAAUUGGAGAAACAAUUCCUCCAAAGUUUAUAACUUCAUAGAAAGAUUUAACUGAGUACAGCCCCUUAGGUUAAAGAGACUAGAUAGGCAAAUCUGGCGAGGUAGACAGAGGGAAAUCCCUAAUGUGGUCUUGUAAUUGAUUCCACCUAAGAAUCCCCCUCAGAUCGACACAUCGCCUAAAUGUAAGUUUCAGAGUAGUCCCAUCCCACACUUGAUCCACUGAACAAUCAGGCUGGUUGCAAAUUUCAAACAGGUCCCAAAACAUAGUUCUUAGGGAACAAUCCCCAGCCCACGUAUCAUGCCAAAAACUUAUUUUAUCACCUCUCCCCACCUUCCAAACAUAGAAAGUUUUUGAAGCAUUUAAAGCCCGGGUCACACUUUUCCAGAAGGGGGACCCAAUUUUUUGUUUGGCCCACUGAAUAUUCGGCGAGUGAGUGUUAUAUUUAAAAGCCAAAAUCUUUUUCCAAUCACUGUCAUUAAAGUCAAAGAAACGUUUUCCCCAUGAGGCCAAAAGGGCCAUGUUGAAUUCUUUCAAGUUGGGGAUACCAAGUCCCCGAAAUUCCUUUUUUCUAGUAACCAGACCCUAGUUGGCCAGAUGGUAUUUAUGUUGAUCAUCUAUAUUAGCCCAGAAAUAUGAGCCAUUUGAGAAUGAAUGGCAUUAAUUGUCUAUUUAGGGAAUUUAAUCAUGGCCAUAAGGUAGGCAGGAAUACUAACAAUACAGGCACACAAUAAGAUCAACUUCCCCCUAUAGGUCAAGUAUCUACCCAGCCAACCAGAAAUAUUCUUGAUAAUUCUAUCAAUAAUUGGUUGUAGAUCUUCUCUCCUCAAUUUGUCAUAGUGCACAUGCACUCCCAAGUAUUUGAUAGGAAAAGACCCCAACUUACAACAAAAAAUUUGAGCAAAGGUUUUAGACUGCUCCUCCACAUUUAUGGUGAGUAAAUCACCCUUGUGGAAAUUAAUUUUCAUACCAGAUAGGUUUUCAAAACAGGAUAAAAUCCACUUAAAAUCCCUGGCUUUGUCAUAUGAAUUCUCUAGAAAGAGAAGUGUAUCAUCAGCAUAUUGCAAGCUGAUCACUCCCCCGGGGAUAAUGUUGGUCAGAAGACCGGAUAUCAGGCCAUGUUUUGAAGCCUUGAUUAGCAUUUUGGAGAAAACAUCAGCAACUAAAUUAAAAAGCAAGGGGGAGAAGGGAUCUCCUUGUUUGAGACCCCCCCCCCCCAUAAAGUAAGGCCCAGUAGCAUCAUUGAUCCUCACACUAAAUGUACUCUGCAAAAGAGUUGUUUUAAUCCCAAAAAAUCCAUUUUUGCCCAAAACCUCUGGAACUAAGCAUUUCAAAAAGAAAGUCCCAACUUACUCUAUCAUAUGAUUUUUCAUAGUCUAGUUUGAGCACAAGCCCUUGUGAACCAAAUUUCUUAACUUCAUGAAUAACCUCACGUGCCAGGACUACACUUUCAAGUAUAUAUCUUCCGUUGAUAAAUGAAGUUUGAUUGGGAGAAAUCAUUCUAUGACUGAUAGGGGAAAAUCUAUUAGUCAUAGCUUUUGUAAAAAUCUUAAUAGCACAAUUGCUAAGACUGAUAGGUCUGAAGUUCUUCAUGUCUUUAGCAUUCACCUCCUUUGGGAUCAACACCAUCAGAGCAAAAUUAAGUUUAUGAAUAUCUAAUUUGCCCUCCUCAAAAUCUCUAACCAUGGCCAUAAAGUCUUUUUUAAUUACCUCCAUGAAGGUUUUAUAAAAGAGGAAAGGCAAGCCAUCAGGGUCAGGCGCUCCAUGUGCAUAAGAGCCAAAAAUGGCUUCCUUAAUCUCCUCUUCAGAAAAUUUUCUUUGUAGCAUUUAAUUUUCUUCUAUCGUAACCAGCUCAUCUUCCUCCCAGAAGGAAGGGCCAAGAUGAAUAUCAUGUUCUGCUUCAUACCCAAAAAGAAUUUUAUAAAAAGUAGUAGCUACAUAUAGCAUUUCGUUAGUAGUAAAAACAGGGCCAGAAUCCCAUUUAGCUCAGUCAAAUGAUUUUUUUUCUAUGCCUGUGAUUGGCAAGCGCAUGAAAAUAGGCAUUAUUUUUCUCUCCAUCUUUAAUUCUACGAUCCCUCGAACGUUGCCACAAGGCAACCUCCUCCUUACGCAAGAUAUCAUCAAGCUCUUUUUUAAUAUCCCGCAUCCGAAGCCUAUCCGCAUCCGAUACACGAUUUGACUCGGCAAAAACAUCUAGGAUAUCAAAUUCGUGCAUAAGGUCUCUCUUCUUUUUCUUAAGAGCAGCUUCAAUAUUAAUACUCUGGCCUUUAGCCUUUUUCCAAACAAUUUAGCUUUUUAUAACCAAACAUCAAUAGCAGUCCUCCCCACCACUAGGGUAUUCCACACCUCUAUAAACAUAGUUUUAAAUUCUGGGUAGUCAAGCCACCAUUUUUCAAACCGAACUGUUUUGGGGGGAGGUAACCCUCCUAGCUCAUGUGUCUAAAAUCAGGGGGUAUGAUCACUACCAAUUCUGAGUAAAGCAAUUAAACCGGAUAAAGGAAACUGAGCAUCCCAAGAAGGGGACACAAAGACUCUAUCAAUAGCAGCAAAAACAGGAUCAUCCUGAUUAUUACUCCAAGUAAAACUUCGAUUAGCAAUGCUAAUUUCCAUAAGACCCCACCUAUUAAUCCAAUCAUUGGAAAGGAAGGCAAGUUGAUUAUUAAUGAUGCCAUUGCUCUUAUCUGUAGCACAUCUCACCAAAUUAAAGUCUCCACCCAAAAUCAUAGGAUAUGUGAGAUUUGUCAUUACAUCAUGUAGUUCAGCAAUAAAUUCCAUUUUCAGAUCAUUGUAAGCAGUACCAUACACAGCAACAAAGUGCCAAACAAAACCAUCUUUUUUGUUCUUAACAGUAGUCACAACACUGUAUGUUUUAUUAAUAAAGCCAAUUAUCUCAAACAGAUCAUUAUUAAUCCCCACAAGGAUCCCACCAGCAGUGUUAAUAGCAGGGAAUUGUUGCCAAGAAAAAUCAUUUCUACCAGCAAUUCUCCUAAUGGUAAUAUCAUCAAUUUUUUCCCUCUUGGUUUCAAAGAAACCAACAAAAUCAGUGUGAUUGUUAUUAGUAAAAUCCCCUAGGCAUUGAAUUUUACCUGGUUGUCCUAGACCAUGAAUAUUCCAAAAGGAACCUAUCAUUGGAUUUUAAAAGGGUGAGAUAGGCCACAAGGCACAUUCUUACAAAGAACAAUUGGAUUGUUUACACCCAGAUCAACAGUGCCCCCUGAUCUAGAGUUGAAAACAUGACCAGAAGGGGUAUAGGCCCUCUCAGCAGCAUAUGUGGAAAUAUCUAAAUCAUGCGGUAAAACAAUUUCUGGAUUCUGGUCAGCAAAUUGCAGGCAUCUUAAUUUCUCCCUAUCCACAAUGUCCAUUAUAAUUCUCUUUUGAUCUAAGCUACUUUUUCCAACACACAAGUCAAUCUUAUUAAUUUGUUCGGCAAGAGUUUGGGUAUCAGUGGUAGCAAAAGAUUUACCUUUGAAGGAGAUAGGAAUUUCCAAAUUCUUCUUCUGUAGAUAUGCAGUAGCUUUCUCCAUAAUCUUGACAUUACCAUGGUUCCUAGUGAUUGGUCUAUUAGAGAGCACAGGCCCCCACCCCCACAUUAUUGUCCACAUCACACUUCAUCUUCUUGUCUGAUUCAGCUUUCUCUAGUGUUUCCGGGAGUGAUCUCUUAACAGAUCCAAGGGCCACCGCCAGAUCAUCAGGUAAACAUUGCAUAUCAGUUAAGCAGUGCUCCUCUUCCUCAUCAGAGUCUUCCAUUUCAAACUUACUUAACUGGGCAGAGCAACAGUCCAUAUGGACAGACAAAGGUUCAGAGCCAAAUGUGGAAGGAGAACCAACAAGAGCCGGACAGGGACUAGAAGGGCUAGAAUUCACAGGGCUUUUGUCUCUGAUUUCUUCAAUGAACUGUUCAUGGAAGCAAUCAACAAGUUUUGGAGGAUGAAACUCAGCUGCAGAAACAACUACCAUCAUGUUCUUACUUUUAGCAGCAGAGAUGUUCUUAUGAGGGAAAUUUGCUCUGUCAAGUUGAUCAAUAGGCUCAUCACCAUCCUCUUCCAUCUUGUCCUUCUCAAAUUGCUCAUUACCAUUAUCUUCCUUUUUCUCUACAGCAUUAUCAAUAUAAGGAUCACUGUCGUUAGCAUCAGAGUUGUCUCGCGCCUGUUCAAAUCCUUCCACGGUGAAAAAUAUCAUAUAUAGCUUUUUCUUCAUCUCCACCAAUCUCUCAAAAGGAAUUUUGGCAGGAUCCCUACAAGCAACUUUAAUUAUGAUAAUCUCAUAGAAACUUCUGAAAAUCCCAUUCCAGUCCACAUCCACAAGGAUGCCAAAACACGAAGCAACCUGUGUAAACACUUUCCAUGCACACCACUUGGGAGGAAUCCCCUCAACUUGUACCCAAGCUUCAGACAACUGACCAAACGCCUCCAUCAUUCCCUCACAUUCACAUAUCUUAAUAGAAACUCCAUCAAUCGGGAGGUCAAAUGCAGGGAACUCAAUCAGGUCUUCUACUUUUUUCCAAGGUGGGAAUCUAAGUAGGUAUUUCUUCUCCUCAAGCUCUCUAAUUUGCCAUGGCCAGUCUUUGUUCUUACAGAAAAUACCAUUUAGCUGGACCAAUAAGCUAGAACACUAAUCAUUUUUUCCUUCACCUCUGAUUAGCGACAACAUGGAAGUAAGCAGUGUUUGUGCCAUCCUCCAUACUAUCCUUAUCCCUAGACCUUUCACCGGCGUAGUCUCCUAUUUACUCCAAAUGUCUCCUAACUCUAGCAGAAUUUCAUCCUUCCUGCCCUUAUACCAACCUCAAAGAGGGUAUUAGACUCAGUCUAAACGCCAGAGGAUACUGUUUUGGGGACUAACAAUAUCGCUGGGUGCUACUUUGGCACCUAUGGUACAGUCGUACAGUUGCUUUUGGUAAAUACACCGCAGAGAUGAACUAUGUAGGAAAGUUUGCAAAGAACCCUGCGAACGUGGAAUGCAACACCUCUGUUUCUUUAUUUAUUCCUAAUUUUCCUCUGUUUCAGAGGGUGUUUGUUUCCAUGGACUUAUUGGUUUAGGGACUUAAAAAAGUCCCUAUAAGUCACAUCUAAACUAAACAGGAGGGACUUAUAGAGACUUAAAGUGGGCAUUUGGGACUUAUGAAAUAAGACUCUCAAGGAGAGUCUUACAGGAACUUAUAGUUGUAAUGUGGUCUUAUAGGGACUUAUAAGUCCCAGGAACCAAACAGGUAAGGACUUUUUAGAGACUUGAGACUUAUAAGUUGGGAUUAAAAAAAGUCCUAAGACUUAUGAACCAAACAGGGCCUCAGGCUCAGGAAUGCGUGCUCCUGUUAAUAUAUUCUGUAUUAUAACGUUUUCAGAGCCAACACCUGUUCUGUUCGACUGGUACUCACUGCAUUAUUUUUAGAUGAAUCUCGUGACCCUAUCUUGCGCUGAGCAGUGCAGACUUUACUAGUUUUCGUGCUUCCUUCAACUGAUGCAAUUUUUUUUUUGCGGGUUGUUUAAAUAUGCAAGCAAUGUUCUAGUAAAAGACUUGGUAGGUGAUGAAUCAAAUGCCCUUGCUCAUUCUGCCUUAAAUUACAGAGCUCAGACUAUAUAUUACAUGGUACAUACGCUGGAGAAAGAAAGAGUACUUGAUUCCCCAUUCGAUUUACACACACCACCCCAAAGAAGACACGGACACAGAUACAUUGCUGCUGCUUCUUCGACCUCCAGCCGAUCCCAUGCAAUCCGUGCGUCCGAUCUGAUGCAAUGCAACAACCCCUCUCCCACCACGCGCGCAAGCCAAAAAUCGUCUUAUAGGCCGA
rnacentral:lncRNA from 1 species